rnacentral:lncRNA from 1 species
AAAAAAAGAGUUAAUAUCAAAUAAAAAAAAAAUUGUCCGUAAGACCAUAGUCGAAUUUAUUAUAUUAAAAAAACUAAUUAACAUAUUUCUUUUGUGGAGAACAUGCCGAGCACGAGGAACCCCACCCCUAUUCGUUUCCAUAUAUCUUUGUUUUCCUUUUAUGAAAAUUUAGUACUUAUUAAUAGUUUGGUAAUAUAGUAAAUAGAAAAUAUAUAUAUUAAAAUUUCAAAUUAAUUGAAUCUCAAUAUUUUAAAUAUAUUAUUAAUUUUAAAAUACAACUUUUUAAAUUUUUACAUUUUUUCUAACAACAAAAUUUUCAACCUUAAAAAUUAGAAUUAUCAAGAAACAAAUGUAGAUAUGAUUCUUUGAAGUCAUUUAUUCUUUCAUUUUAGACAAUUUUGACUAGACUGAUGGUCUUUCUUUGAAGUUGUUUUGUUUGACAGUCAUCUAUACUAACAUGUUACACCUUUAUUGAGAGAUCUUCUCUAACAUGAACAUCCUCCACUUUUAACACAUGAGAAGGAUCAUACAAAUAAUUCCUUAGCUGAGAGACGUAAAAUACCGAAUGAAGAUUGACCAACUUAGGAGAUAUGACAAUCUAAUAAGCCACUCGUCCAAAUCAUGAGUAGGAUAGCAUGUGAAAAAGAGAAGUACUCAAUCGAAUUUCACCUAGUGCUGACUCGGCCAAAUACGACUGAGUUAUGGUCGAGAACAACUUAACUGAAUUUGGCCAAUUUUCAAUCAAGGUUUUAUUGGUUGAAUUCGGCCAAAUUUUGGUUGUUCUCAAAUAAAUUCAACCAAAUUUCGUCUGGGAUCGACUCGAUCGAAAUUUGGUCGAGGCUUUCUUGGCAGAAUUUGGCCACAUUUCGACGAGGGCAAACUCAACCGACCUUUGACAUGUGCCAUCUCGACACGACCUUCGGCCCACGUCAACCCAUCUUGACAUUUAGCCUAGGCUAGUUGGGCUCAACCAUUGGUCUAAACUAGCUUAACUCAACCUUCAACCUAGAUUGAUUGGGCCCAACCAUCGGCUUGGAUCAACCUGAUUUAACCCUUUGUCCAUGUCAACUUGUCUUAACCUUUGAACAUGGUAGGACCCUCACGACCUUCAACCCGAAUCAUGUAAUCUCGACCCUUAGUUUGGUUUGGUCCGUCUCAACCUUAAACCUAAGCUAAGUUAAUUUGACCUUGCGUUCGAACAAGCCUAUAUCGGUCUUUGAUCCAGAACAAUCAUUCUCAACCCUCGUUUCGAGUCAGUCCAUUUCAACCUUGAGUCUAAUUCAACUAAAAAUUUAGAUUGAAAAUUUGGAUUGAAUAUUUGGAUUUUCCAUAUUUAAAAUUUGGACUAAAGAAUAAAUAUCUAUAAAAAAAAAGUCAUAAAAUGUAGACUUUUCAUUAAAUGGAUUGAAUCGGAGCAAAAGUGGUUCAAAUUGAGAAAAAUUGAUUUUUUUCCCACGAGGUUAAUAUUCGAAUAGUAAAGUAUAUUUACUAAUUCUCACUUUUUUAAAAUAUUUUUAAUUAUGAUUUUUUUAUACUUUAUUUAUAGGUUGUUUCCGCUCCUUAUAUGUAAAAAAAAAAAUCUUAUUUAAUGUAAUAGUUUUUCAGCUUUAUUAGGAGUUUAUACUUCUAUUUAUAUUAAAUUUAUGUGAUAAUUUAUGCUUUGAAAUAUGUUUGGAGGGAGAUUUUCAAAAGUUGUAGGAAGAUGAUUUUGAUAUUUGUAUUACUUUUAUAAAUAUAUGUAGUUUAAAGUUUCUCAUAUUUUUUAUGAGAGAAAUCAUUCUUUAAUAUUGAUAAGUUAGACCUCUGAUAAUGGUUGAUUUAUGUGUUUUUAUGUGUAUAUUUUUGUGAAUAAAUCAACUCCUUUAUAACUUUUACUCUGUUUUCCCCCCAAGUCUAGUGUGUUUUCAUGCUUUCUUGUGUUUUAGUUAGUAUAUGUCUGUUUAUCUUUAAUAUCUAUUUUUAAAAUAAGUCAAUAGGAAACAAUUUCAGUGAAGAAAAACAAGCUGGUACUCAAGGAAGCGUGAUUGGAUAAGAAAGAAUGAUUUUAGCAAAUAUCCAUUCCAAGGGCUCUAAAAUCGCACCUAAGAUUGCAAACAUGAAGAAAAGGCUCACUUGUAGGGUUGUAUUGUCACUACUGUCAUGGAUUGUCCUCGAAUGACUGAAAAACCACCAUUGAGCGCUAGGAUGAGUGGUUGGGUGAGUUGGUUUCUUGUUGGAUGAAAAUGACAAUCCAAACUGGUAGUAUUCGAGUUGUUGGUCAAAAAUAUAGCUCACCUAACAAGUUACAAGUUAGAGAGCAUCAAAUUUUAGGUCUCGCUGGGCAAGAAUGAAGAUGUUAGCCGAGAGUCUGUCAGCCUUGAUACGCGAAAGUUUGUAUUUAGUAAUGCUUUCGCAAGAGUUUUCAUUAUUCCUCAUUUUUACAAAAUAAAAUCACUUAGGUGUUUGGGAUAGACUCUUAGAGGUUGUUUAUAGUGUUGGAAAGCUCUCCAUCUCCUUCUUAGGUUUCUUCCUUCAUCCAUGGUGAAUUUUUCCCUUUUGGGGUUGAAAAGAAAGAUGGGCUACAAAAUUAAGGUGUUGAUGUGAAAGGGGAGGCCAAUUGAAGCAAGUAGUAGCUGUCAAGAACCUUGGAAGAAGGAUUACAUCUUCUCUUUAGUUUCCAUUUCUUCCCUAACUUUUCAAUUUGUAGAAUUCUAAGUUCUUCAAAAUGGAAAGCUAUUUCUAUUUCUUGAGAUUAGAUGUAAAACAUUGAAUUCUUGUGUAUUGUGUGAUGUUAACAAUAUAUUUUUCUAAUUCAUGUUAGUAUUCAAUUUCCUUGGUUAAUGCUUGUUGUGACUUGAUUUAUGGUUCUUGAUGUAUUAGGAAAUAUGACUUCAACCUAGAACUGAAAUUGAACACCUAAUAGAUGUUUGUAUAUAGGGAUAGAACAUGAUUCAUUACUAAUCUCAAGACUCUUGAACUUAAUGCAUGGUUGCUUGUUGAAGAUUCAAGAAAUUGAAACCUGAUGAGUUAUCACAGGUUCAAAGUCACUCGAGAUAAAAUUUGAGUAUUUUGAUGAAUUGAUUUUAACAUAAAUAUGAAAUUAAGAUGAUUAUUAAUACAUGAGAAUGAAAUACAUGAACUCUAAUAUUAACAAAUUAUAAAUAAUCUAUGUUACAUCUUUUGACACACCAACUGUCGGAUGAAAAUACCAAAAAUAAUUUCUUGUAUUUUUGUAAACUUUGUGAUCUAAUUGAGUUAUUAAAUAUAAAAAUUGUCAAAUGUUACACAAAUCCUUUAGAAGAUAACUACACUGUAACCGAUGCACUUAUAAUUAGUUUUACUAUGCCUCCAUAUAUUUAUUUAGAAUUUUCAUAAUUGUGAAGUAUAAUUUGAUCUUAAAUUUAGUUUGAUACUUGUUGUCUGUAUUCAUUCGUUUAUUUAUUUUUUAAUAUAUUUUCAUGUCAUAGGAAAUAUCCAUAAGUUUUAGAUUAAGAGAAUGAUAAAUUUUAGAUUAAGAGAAUAAUUAUAUGUUAAAGUUCACAAUAAUACCUAACUUAUUUAAAAAUUAUUUUGGUAAAACUAUCAUAUAUAUAAGCUUUUAAUAAUUAAUUUUCAAUUAUUAUCAUCAUGGUUUUUUAUAAUGUUUGACUAAAAGCUAAAUUUAAAUUCAUUAUUGAUUAGGAUUUUCUCCGUCAACAUUAACAUAACUAUAAUUGGAUGUAUACUGGUUAGGGUUUUUUGUUGAUACAAAUUGAACUUAAUAUUUAACAAAAGUAAGUUAAAAUUUUUUACAAAAUGUUGGACAUGAAUUGUUUUAUAAUGAUCAUUAUUGAAAUUAUUUAUCUAUUAAUAUGUUAAACUAUUUCUUACUUAAUGUAGAUUAAGUUAUUUUUCAAUUGAAGUUUAUAAUGAUUAUUUUUUGUCUAUGCCUACAAUAUUAAAAUAUUAAUCUUUAUAUUUGAUAGUAAUUAAAACUUUAUUUAAAAAUAGUAAUAAAUUUAGGUCAUUUCAUUUAAACAAAGCAGUAGAAAAAUUAAUCAAUUUAAAUUUAAUUUUAUAUUUUGAAAUUUCCUAAAAAGCAAAGAGUUCGUACUUAAUUUUCAUUUUCACAACUUUAGGAAAAACGUCUUAUCCUGAGUUAUAGAAGAACGUUAGAGCAAAACUGUUAUGAUAUAACUAAACUUAUUAUCGAUAUUACGAGACACUGCCAAAAAGUGAAAGAGAAGAGUAAGCGAAGCCUUGGAAGAAAACAAAUGCAGACAACCUUUUUAUUAUAAACAAAAAGGGUUAUUUCCAAGAUUUCAAAAUGAUUCUCUGCAUAAUUUUAAGUGUUGUCCCUCAGUAUAAAAUUUAGAUUCUCUGCAAACAAUUGAGUACAAGACGAAAAAUUUGAAAGGUAUGACUCAAAUCACAAAGUGACACCAAAAGUUACAAAUUUAAUUUCUUGUAAUUUGGGCUAAAAGGGCAUGAAGAUGACAUAAAAAGGACUUUUUGAAGCUUGAGACAGAGAGGAAAUCCAGGGAACAAUGAAGAUUGCCUCGUACUGUGAACAUGAAUUGACAAGACUUAUGUUGGUAGACAUAAGUCAUAUAAGAAGAAACAUGACUUCAAUGCACCAAAUACUAUUGAGCUGGCCCUGGUUAAGUAUAAUAAGUGGAAAAUGAUAGAGUGAAUAAUAAUAUGUUGAUGUUGAUGGUGAGGCAUAAGUGGAGAAGUGGACAAGAUUCCGCGUGAAUUGCUUAGUAGAAAGAUCGACAUAUCACAUUCAGUAUCCAAAUAAUAAGCAUCUCAUGGUUAAUUUAACACAGUCAUAAAAAAUAAAGGUAAAAAAUUGAUGAUGAAUUUCAAAAACUUGUCUGUAAAAGUUUUGUAUAUUUCAGAACAGCGGUUCCCAACAGGCUUGUUUACUAUUGUAUACUUUGUAGAUAAGAUUUUGCUUAUAAUAUUAAAAACUGGAUAUUGUUGCGCAGAUCUACUGAGACCAGUAAAAUAUGCUGUAACUCAAUACUACAACCAGAGAUAACUAUAAAAAGAUUUUAAGAAAAAAACAUGGGAAAAAAGAAGUUGGUAUAGAAUUGACAAGUCACUUAUGAUUAUUGCACCUUGACUUGAAAUAUGGCAGCCUGGUACCUGUAAACUUUACCACAAGCCAAAUUGUCAAGCAGGUUAAUCACACAUGUGGCUGGUGAGAAUCAAGAGCCAUCCAUUUGUAUAUCAGUACCAUUUGGAUUAGUUUGGUUGGCAUUGAAGGGACUUCCAGCCACAUUCUUCUGCAUUGGUCCAGCGCCAAAUGUAAACUCUGUAGGAGCAAUGUCUAGGGUUGGUCUGGCAAAUAUUGAAGGAGUUCCAGCAGUGCUGAAGGAAGGAAGUUGAGCUGGAUCGUUGAUCUUUGGGAAACCAAAGCUAAUUGAAGGAAGAACUGUUGGCGAGAAACUGGGAAGCAGAGAGCUUCCACUGUCGAUUGGUCCAUAGAUCUUCUGCUCAUACUCUUGUAGUUGCUGGUAUACACCUACAUUAAGAAAGGAAGCAUGCACGUUAGAAAGGUGAUGAUUAGCCUUUUGCAAAAUGCAGCCAAACAGUGUGAAUUUAUUCACUACUUGAUAUGAAGGAGUUCACUGAAAAGAUACAACAUUAACGAGACCUGAGUCCAAUCACAUAAGAAAUUAAUAUCACUCUUUACUCAAAAAUCUUAAGACAAUAGGUUAAUAGAUCUUCAAUCUUAUAUAAUGGUCUAUUUUUUCAUUUCUACCCAAUAUGAGACUUAGACUCAUACUUGGGAUUCUAACAUAUGAAUGUAUUGAAACCACCAUACACUCCUUAAACAAAAAUGUGAUACUACUUUUCGAGCAGGGAUGAUGGGAGAGGGAGAAUUGGCAAGUUGAAAGCAUAUCCAUGUUAAUAUUUUCAUAGGGGUUAUUUAAAGCAAGUCCUCCGUAAUUUCUAAGCAUCCUAAACACACAAAUCACAACUUACCCACACGAUCUGUUAAUGAUUCAUCACUAAUCUAAACUGAAAAAAAGUUAAUUUAGCUGUAUGACCAAUUUGGCCUUUCUUCCACUCUAAAUUUUGAUAACUACUAUUGAGCACUAACUCAGUUGAUUAACUUGAUUAAGUUUCCAUACAUAAUGAUCUUAAGAUAAAAUGAUUUCACCAGUUAAAAGUCCUUAAUUAACCAACACUGAAAUCUGAUGACUACAUUGGAGACUGGAAGCAAAGCUGGAUACAGUAAACAUACAUACCUGGAGUUAGUUCAACCGAAUGUCUACGUUCCUUUACCCACUGAUAACUCUGUGCAAGUCUCCAUCCUUUGGACUUCAUCAAGUAUGCAAUCACAAUAGCUGGAGACCUGUUGUUAAAUACAACAUGAUUCAGAAAAUUUAACAUUUCUAUAUAUUACAUCCUCAUCUGAAAGGCUGCAGUACAAAAACCUCUAUCAAUUCCAUUUUGUAUUUUGAGAGUCACCAUCACUAAGUAAUUCAAACUAACCAGCACCAAAUGUCACUGACAUGUUUAUUAAAUAGUCUAGGAUUAUCUUACCUACUCUUUCCUGACAUGCAAUGAACCAGAACACGCUCCUUUUCCUUCUCACAUAACUCUGCAAAGGAAGCACACGGCAUUUGCUUCAUUAUGAAGGGUAAAAGGAAGAAAUAUAAGAGAAAAGUAUAAUGUCAAUUUAAGACAAAGAAUCCAUUAAUUACCAGUUACUCAGUUAAUUUUAAUGAGCCAAAUCAUACGUUAUAACUCAAAUCCGGAAAUAACAGCAUAGGAAGAGUUGCUUAUACUUAAUAUCCCAUUAAGCAAAAAAGAACGUAUAACGCAACUCCAUCAAUGUUAUAACAAGUGACCACCAUUUAAACUAAACCAAAUGAGAAAGAUUUACAGAGAUAGCAAGUUAAAAUAAAGCCUUAAACACUAGAGGACUCAUUAAAGAUUAAUUAUAUAACGAUGGAAAUGCAUCAAAUAUUACAAUACAAACCCACACACUUGUGCAAACAUGCCCCCCUGUCCACUAUCAACAAUGGUGAAGGAAAGAAGAUGGGGGCAGCUUAGAAGACAAAAGGUAAAGGGCAUGGUGAGGGACUUGAUGAAAAACCAAAAGAAGUUACCAAUGAUAAAACAAUUUUGUUAAGGCCUAGACAUUGAGUGACAAUUUAUGAUAGAGUAAAAAAUGUCCCUAGGUACAUAAGCUAUCAAAUUGUUAAUCAAAAGGCAUAUUAUUUUAAUCAUGUAUCAGAACAUAUCACAAACCAUAAAUUCAUGAUCAACUAAUAAAAUAAAUUAAAAUAUACUUUUAACAAAAGAAAUUUGUAAAAUGGUGUAUAAACAAAUAAGAUCUUUAUUUCCUUUACUGGAACAUUAUCAUGCUUCUUCGUAAUUUUGUCUCCCAUCAUUAAUCAGUAUAUAUUUGCAACAAAAAACAGUUUUUCAGUCACCCCUUUGUUUUCUCACCAUGGCAGCUAGUCAUCUCAGAUCUAUAGAUCAUGGGUGUUUUCACCUCCUAUCAACCUUGAAAAGGUUACAAACGAUGUUGGGCUAUCCAAAAGAGGAUCACCGAUAUCAGAGUAUCAUCAAACCCUGGUCACCACCAGUCCACAGCUUUUUUCCAUCUAUGCAGCACAUAACAUACUUGAGCCCCUUUCCAAAAAACCAUAAUCAUGCACGUCUUCACCGAGAAGAUUCCAUCCAUUACUGCCUUGGUCUAUCACACUAGUGGUUAUUUUGGCUCCCUGCCCCUCCAAGAUAUUUAUUGUGGGAAAUCAUGACAAAAUAGAGAUUCCUAAAAUUCAAAUGACUCAAAAUGCAUUUCUGAAGACAAAAUCAAACUCUGCGCAAUCUGUAUUCACGGAGCAAGGACUCAAAUAACAGCUCAUGAAUCAAAUUAACAUGUAUUUUGUGUGGAAGUUAUCACUUUUAACAACAAUAAGAGCCUAAAUAAUUUUUUCCUACAACACAGGAUCUGUACAUGAUCAAAAGCAACACUUGUGUUCAACGAUGAACCUACCCUUUGGAAGGUUAAGGCUAUGUAAGAGUGUUGAUUGGACUCCUUGGGUGCACCAGAUCAAGUUUUCUUAGUAGUUCUUCCACUGUUCUUACAAGGUCAAACCACCUUAUACUAGAUUUUUACCAUCUCUUCCUCAACAGGUGCUAUUGUUUCCUUCUAUCUAAUGCCUUCAUUCCUGAUCUAGUUUUUGUAUGUCCACUCACCCACCACAAACCUGUCUUUGUCAAACAGAGUUUAUGCUCCAAUUCGUUCUUUAUCAACCAAAAUUCAAUACCAAUUAUUAAAAGAACAAGUUCAUUAAGAAAAAGAUAUAAUUACAGAGAGCUCAGAAUACAUGGACUUCAAUAAUGCUUUUCUUUUGUCCUUUUUUACUUAUUAUUUCAUUAAACUUGCUUAUAUCAAACUAAUUUGUCAUAAAACUAACAGUUUUUUGUUUGCACAAAACAGUAAACUGUAUUUAAACUUCAUUCAAGUCAAUUCAGCACAUUCACAGCUCUAUAGCAGGAAGGUCCGCCUCCUAGUUAAGUCAUUGUUUUAUGUCUCCUAGUCAAGGUCCUGCACCAAUCACAGCAGCCCUUCACAGCUGUUACCAGCUGCCCCGCGUGUUACCAGCAAGAAGACAACCUCACCCGCUUUUUCCGUGUCGGUUUCAUGCAUUUUAAUAAGGUAAAAUUGGAAAAAAGCAAUAACUCUAUAUUCUGAAUUCCUUUCUACUUCGUUGACAUUUUCUUCUUUGAUGCCCAGUCAGCCCUAGCUUCUACACUUUCUCUUCAAAACCAAGCACAGCUCUAAAUCCCUAAGGUUUCACAUGUGCGGCGACAACAGCUCUUCCCUUGCACUUGCAUGGUAUUCAAAUCAUUGUCAGUGAUCAAGUCCUUUGCUUUGCUCAAUUUUGACUCGUCAAGUUUUAAUGCAAAGAUUGACCUCAUCAGACAUGAUGAGAUUUUCUCUUCAAAUACAUUCUAUUUUCUCUCAGAACUUGCAUGCAUUCCAGAUUCAUGAAUGUUAAACUUGUUUUCUUUAGUGUUUACACUAAUUGCAUUACAUCAUAAAAAGAUGCAAGAAUCUAUUCAAUUUGUUGCCAUGUUUCAAAUUUAGGUAUUUUAUUUAUUUUUCAGCAUAAAUAGAUGUGUAAUGUAUAUAGGACUCAAAAUGGAAGUCAUCCCACAAUUGCACUUUUGGGGGCGUGGAUCUAGACCACUAUUCACUAAUUACUACUAUGGUCCCUCACAGAGGCAUUUAUCUCAAUAAAACAAUUAGUAUGGUGCUCACUGACAAGAAAAUAUAUUAAAGCCUUUGAUGUUACCAACCUGACUAUACUGUUGGGAAAGUUUCAGACUCUGAAAGACCUUAAGUCAUGGAUGCAGAUGCCCUUAAUGAGAAAAUUACAAGAAACCACUGCAAUAGAGUGAUAGAUGGUGGGGAUUCUCUCAAAUAAUCAAAUUGUUGAAGGAGCCUCCUUCAACAUUGACUUUAAGCAGGCCCUCUAGCAGAAACAGAAACAUAGGUAAAAGUGGCUAGAAAGGGAAAUUGCAAUUUUAGGCAAUGUUUGGAUCGGAGGGGAGGACUAGUGGAGUGGACAAUUAGUAGAUAAUAAAGUGUAGCAGAUUUGUUCAAGAUAUAGUGGAGUAGACUGGUUCAUAAACAUAACAGAAUGAAGUGAAAAGUACUAAGGAAUAUCUUUCAAGACCUUUAUUGAUCCUAUUGCUAAUUAGGUGAACAACAAAUAUCUAAUGUCUAUGAUUCUAUAAUGGUCUUUUCCUUUCAAUAUAUUGCUUAUUUUUUAAUAAUUGACUAGAUGAUUCAUAGAGAAAGUCCUUUAGAAAAAGAAUCAAAAUACUACCAAGUAGAAGUGCAAAAGAACAUAAUAGUAAAAGUCCAUGUAGCAGAUCAUUUACUAGUAUUAUUGAGCACGAAGACACUGGUCAAAGUUCCAAUAACAAGUACAAGUAUUAUAUGUAGUAGUUAUUUAUAAAAAAAGCUGCAAAUCCAUGUUAAAGAAGCACAUGGGCAAAUGAAAAGUAUAAGUUUUAAAUGGACAAACAGAAAAAUACCUAGAAACUGAAUUGCUUCAUCAAAUGCCAAAGUUUUGUCAUCUGGGAGGCAGUGAUAGGUAAAUGAGUUCUUGUAGAGAUUUUGACAAGAAGGAACAGUCUGCAAAAGUAGAGAAUUCAAAGGUAUUAUAAGAAAAUAAACACAUGAGGAAAAUUUGGACAAGCAGGUUUACGGUGCAAAACCUCUGAGCAAGAUAAGAAUGACAUACAUCAUGAAAACAAAUUGAAUAUCAAUCAAAAUCAUUGUACGUUUAGUCACCUCUUGUCCAUUUAGAACUAACUAUUUUCCACUAGUACAGGAAACAACCUAAUUCCACAUCUUCAUGAUUUUCCACAAUUAAAAAAAGUAUCUGCACAAUCAGCCCAAACAAUGAGUUGAUCAUUGAGCUUAUGAACCAUGAAUUUGCAUUUAUUCAGUCAUGUUAGUCCCUAAACUUGAAGUAAUUCAUAAUGUCACCAACAUGGAAACCAAUUUGGCUGCCAAAAUGAAAUUCAAAUCUUCCCGAAAUUUGACUAUUAAUCUUAUCUGAAUCUAAAAUCUAUCAACUAAUUGUUUAACUUGAAAUCAAAGUCUUAAAAAAGGGUCCACAACACAGGUUUUUUGUAGUUUUCAUGACCCACAAUUUAAACCCUUGUUUGGCAUAGUCAUUCCUAUGCAUUGACCACCUAGAAAUUAUAAGAACUGUUAUAAUGAAAAUCCUAAGUAAAUCCACUUCACCUACAAUUCCUCAAUUAUUACUGAAAUCCCAAACACAUAACAAUCCAAAAUCUCAACCUCACAACACUCAACUUAUCACCAUGCAUACAUUCAUAGUUAAUCAUUGGAACAUUGAAAUCAAAAAGAUGUCAGAUUGGAUCACAGAUUAUAAACAAACAACAAGACCCCUUACAUUGAGGAUACGAGUAAUCCCCUGUGUCUUGAGAAGCUCGGAACGUGAUGCGUUGUCAUAGCUUCCUAGGUAAAGAAAUUCGGGCAGAAUCACAGAAGGAAAAGCACUAACUUGUAUCGAAGUUUUCUCCGAUCCAACUGGAAUCCGGUGACCGCAAAUGGAACACACUUCCCCUUCUUCAUAUUUGUGGUAGUGGCCACACACCCCACAGGGAUUCUCUCUCUCCCUUUUCCUCAUAAUUAAACAACAACAACUAUAAAAAAACAGAAGUUUCCUUCAGACCCAGAUCCAAAAACAAGGGAUUGGGAACAAAACAAGGCAAAAAAUUAGAUCUUUUUGGAGGUGGAGAGAGACCCCAAUCAGAAAAAUGGUUCAAACCUGAAAAAAACAAACACCCAGAUCGACAAAAAAAAAAGGAAAAGAUGAGAGCUUUGACAAAAGGGAAGAAAGGUGUGGUUUGGAAACAACAAGAGAAGAAAGAAGGAGGGAAGGGAAACUAUAUAGAAGUUUCCUUAUUGUAAGUUUGAUGUAAUAAUAGUAUUAUCAACUUAGGACAUGACUACAAUCUAUGUAUCUAUCUGAGUUAGAAACACUCAUUGGUUUGCACUACUGGAUUUUGAUGGAGGCAAAACAUUAGCCAUGGUUUGGUAGUAAUUAUAGAAAGGGAUUUGGUUUAGAUUGGAUGAUGGUGAUGGUAAUGAUGGUAGACACAAGGGUGAAUUUUUUGGGUAUAUGUAUUAGUUGAUGGAUUUUGGGAACUUCCAGAUUUUUGGUUGGCACGUGAAGUGAACAAUCCAGGUUUCUUAUUCUCCUAGAAAUGAGAAUAGAUCUGGUAAAAACACAACUUGCCUAACACUCAACCAUCUCAGUUUCAGGUAAAUAAUCAUCAUUUCUUCCAUCAUAACUCUAAAGCAUUUUCUCCUACUCUCUUUCUCCCUUUUUAGACAAUGUGAACAUGCAUUCACACUGUAAAAAACAUUUUAGUAUGAUUGGUGGACAAUGAUGUCUUUUAAUUGGAUGAGAACUUAAUUUUUUCAGAGUUAUUUUAAUUUUUGAAAUGUUAUUUAAAUUUAUGUACUUUUUGUAUAUAAGUUAUUUUUAUUUUGAACAUUAUUUUUCUAAGUUGAAUAAAUAAUCUUGUCCAGAUUCUAUUUAAACCGACGAAUCCUAUAUUUGUAUUCACAUCCAUAAAAACGACUAUUGGGAAGGUUUUUAAAGUAUUUUCAAAUAUAAUAAAUCUAAAGUUUUAGUAUUAAAAUAAAAUAUUUUAAAGUAUCUAAUUUUUUUCUUAUUUGAUGUGGUAUCUUUUCUUGAACCUUUUAAAUACUUAUUUUUAUAAAUUAUUUUACUUCCAUGUAAAAAGAAUAGUAAAUAGAAAAUAAAUUUAUAAUAAAUAUUUUUUUCAUUUUUACACAAAAUUUCAAUGUUUAAAUGUUUUAAAAAAAUGUAAUCUCUUCAAAUAUUUUUAUUUUAAUUUAUAAAUAUAAUUCUUAUGUGUUUGUAAUCUAUUUAUAAUAUAUAUAUAUAUAUAUAUAUAUAUAUUAUUGUGUUGUUGAAUAGUAUUUCCUUUUAUUUUUGUAGUAUAAUCAAAUUUAUUGACUUAUAGAAAAACUAUCAAUGCUAAAAGAUUAGAUUGUUAGAAUGAUGACAAAACAAUUACUUAAUCUUAAAGAAUAAUACAACAUAAUUUUUUUUAUGUAUGUUUUUUUCUUUUUAUAAACUUAAUAACAUUUUUUUCAUUGUAAUAAUUUUUUUAGUAUAUGAACACUUAUGCACAUCCCCGUAUUUCCUCCCGUUCAACCUUUAUAAAUGCUUUAUUGGAUCUAGAUUUAGGGAAGAGUCAGAAAUGAGAUAAAUAAUACUUUUUAAUAAUUCUAUAUUAAAACUUGUAUUAUUUAAAACAAAUAGAUAUAUAGAGAGUAAUUUGCUUUGAAGGAGGAGUAAGAUAAUUUUUGUUUCAAUAAAAAUAUUUUGGUUAUGAAUUAAGUUAAUCAAACAAGUUACUUACCUAAUAUGUUUGGUAGAGGAAGCCAACUAGUAUUGCUAAAAGCUUUACCUGUAACAUCAUCAAUUAGAAUUUUAAAUACUAACAGUUAUUUUAAAGAUCAUGUUUCUAAACACGCAAACUAUAAGGUUGUAAAAAUAUAAAAUUAACAUGACCUUUUAGUAAAUGAAUUAAAUGUGAGAAUUUUUUUUCUGUCAGUAAAAUAUGAAGUGCAUAGUUGGAUAGAGAUAAAAUUUGAAUAAUUUGCAUGACAUAUUGAAUUAUAUAUGAACGGACUUUGUUGUUAAGAGGUUUAUCCAUUUGUUGAUGUGUUGUUUUGUUUGACAUAUCAUAGUCAAAUGAAUACCAAGAUGCUGUUCAUUGAUGAAUCAAGUUGGUUCUUUUGCCCCCACAAAUAUGAGUCUUUAGAUACGAUGUUGACACAACUGUGGCAGCCUUGUGUAGGAAAAAUGUUCCCAAAUUAACUUACUAACUAUAAUAUCAUCUUUAACUACCUCAAUCAUGGAUGAUUCUUGUUUGAAUAAUAUACUGUAUUAGAAUUUUGUUAACGUACUUUAAAAUUAAUUGUACAGAAAAAUAAAUACGGGUAAAUUUUUUGGUUGAAUUUAUUUUAGUUAAUAUUUAUGUUUAAAUUUAUAUUGAAUUAUCCACCUUCAAAUAUUAGUUAAUAUGAAUUUUGUAUUUAGUUGUAGAUUGAAAAAUAUUUUUAUAGAUUAAAAUAUAUAUUAUUUUAAAUAAAUAUCAGUUAAAACAUUUAAUUCAUUAUUUAGUAAAAUUUAUUAAAAAUACAUUGUCGAGUUUUAUUUAAUAUUUAGGAAGUUCUAAAUUUAUAUUCUUCAAUAUUGUUAAACCAAAAGUGUAUUAUUCUCAGUUGGUUAAUAAUUUUAAAAUAAUUAGUAUAUUUAAAUAUAAAUAAGGUUCGAUAACUAGUUUUUUAUAACUCGUCUCUUUUUUUAGUACUAUUUUUUUUACUAUACCUGCUGUUGUAGCAUUAUAAACAUUAUUAUUACUUUUGCUCUCGUCAAGAUAAAUCUGACUCCUUCCCCUGUUCUUGCCUACGUAUAUCGGAUAUUUUAAGAAAUGAAUAUCUCUUUUACUAGCGGGAUCCGGAGAAAGAAUAGGAAACGUGAUUUCAUUAUAUUUCUGAUCAGGAACAAUGUCUACUACAAGAAUAUUUUUUUUUUAGAACGAUAGUUUUGAAAAGUCAGAUUGUCUAUCUUCUCUUUAAUCUGAGGCGACGGGGAUGCCAAUUCAAAACCUUCCAGUCACUCUUCAAACAUGCACGAAUUUAAUAAUUCCAACCAAAAAAUAUAAGUCUACUUUCAUGCUCUUUAUGUUAGAUUGUGUGUUUGAGUACCUUUCAGAGGGGACAAAUGAGACACAUGAUGAAGGUACAAUUCAAAAGAAAAGAAAGGAAAGAAGUAACGUACAAGCUAUCUUUAGAGAGAUAAUGGUGUACUUUAUCUUAUGUAACUGGAACAAGAAUGACUGCUAGAAUAUAUUCCGAGAUGAUUGGAAAGUAAUGAAGACAUUAUGACUCUACUUCUUUUUCCAAGGGAAGAGAUUAUGAUUAAUAUAAUUUUUCAACACUUCUAUUAAUAUACUAAAAUAAUUAUUUUCCAAUAAAACACUUUUUAUAAGAUCAUAGAUACAAUAACUUUUUAAUGUAUUUCAAAUUAUCAUUUUAAAGAACCAUUUUGGAAACUAAUUCUGUCAAAAAAAACAUGUUAUUAAGAAUCCUCUAAGGAGUUUAUUGUGUUUCAUAUUUAUAAUUUCAAAAUACUAUUUGGUAGCUUUUCUCUUUUUAUUUAGGUGGGGUUGCAGCCUCAAAAGAAGAAUUUGAUUACAAGUCACACAAAAGGAAGUGGUAGUUUUUCUCUUUUCAGCAACAAAUUAGGUUAAUUAACUUUUUUUUUUCUUCGGGGACCAAAUUGAUGUUUAAUCAAAAGGCAAUUCAGAUAUCCAAAUAUAAAAAGGAAACUACAUAAUUCCUAAGAGACCAAAAAUAGAUCUAAUUCUCUAUCCUAUCAAUCAAUAAAGCAUAUGCAUAUGAAGCCAAGUUGGGGAAACAAUAACUUUAACGCUAUGUAAAUUACAUAGGUAUAAAUUGAAAGCUUACAAGUUCAAAAAAAAAAAUGUACCUCUCUAAUUUACAUGAAAUAAACUGUGAAAUCUACAUCUAGGAACACUUUUGUCAUCUACUUGAUACACUGAUAAUGGUGAAGAGUGAACAUACGUUGAUUCCUAAGUGUACAUAGAUUUGAAUCCUUCCGUGAGAGGAACCACCUUUGCGGACAGCCUGGACUGCAAUUUUGAUGCAGCUUGUCGAAUAUCCUGAGGAAUUACAAAAAAUGCAUAUUUUAUUCACUGGUUUUUUUCUUCAUCGAAACAAAAACUUAGAUAUAAUUCCUUAAGAGGCUUCGGUGCUGGUGUCUGAUCAGAAAUGGCAUUGUAUUCAAGUAAUAAUUACUAACCUUUGAUACAUAUACACAUUGUUGGGAUAAAACUUUAAUUAUGAUUGAAUAAAAACCAUAUAAAAUAUUCUAGUAGUUGCAUCUAAGUUUUGUUUUUGUCAUUAAAUUCUUAUUUAAUGUGAUGCGAGAGGGUAUGCCCCUCCACGAUGAAGGUCAUGAAAAUUCACAAAUAUUAGAGAUUUGCAUCUAAUAUGCAAAUACGAGCACUUGAGGAAUGUAACUUGCAAGUUAAAAAACUAAAAGGAAAAAUAUAGCAUUACCUCUAACGUAUAUCUUGGUGAAAAAUGAGUCAACAGAACUGCUUUGUUGCGAAUCCACUGUGCAUUUGCAAUGAUCUACAUAAAAUGUCAUAAGUUUACUGUUCAGGAAUUCAACAAUAUAUUAUGAAGUAGAGAGGAAAUUCUGAAAUCAGUCAAUCACCAGAAAAAGGUGUGAAUUUGUCUGAGCAGAUAAAGACUCUAGUUUAUUUUUAAUAUUUUCAAAUGGUACAAGAUUGACUUAUGAAUGCAACAUGGUAUACAAUUUGGUGCCAGAAAAGCUAUGUACUUAUUUUAACUAUUCUGUAACAUUUGGCUAAAAAAAGCUGCUGACAAUACAACGAUUAUUAUAUAUAUAUGACUAUAGCUAUAACUAUACUAACAUGAACACCAACUCGAUCAUAAGUGACAGCAAAAUAAAAGUGAAAGGGAAAGCAUGAUAGCUGCAAAAGUUGGCCUUCUUGCAUCUAUGAUUUGUCGAGCUAAGAUCAGAGUAACCAUGAAAGAAUGAAACAUGUUACAUACCUCAAAUAAAUGAGUAUGACCAAGUUGCCGAGCAUGAUCUAUGCUGAAUGAAUCAUCUAGGAAAGUUGCCUAUUAAAAGAGUUUCAACAAGCAAAGCAAUCAAAACAAAAAGAUCAAUUAGGAUAGCAAAAAAGAAGAGCACACUACAAAGGAAGGUAAUAGCAAUUUUUGAAAAGUUUUAUUCCUAGUUUUUCAAGUAUGCCAAUACCCAAUAUCCACAAGUACCGAUGAAAUGAACUUAGAUGACUCUGAUAAUUUUAGUAACACAACAUAACAAAGAGGACGACAAACCUUUGGUAUACAAUAAAAAAAUGUUUACACUUUAAUAUUUUUAAUUGAUCUUGUCACAGUUAAGCGUCAGAAAGAACCGAGAAGAAACAAUAAACGAUAAAGGGGAAGAAAGAAAAGAACAAAGUUCAAAAUGAGAUUAAAUAAAAAAUUAUGAUUUAUAACUGAAACAGGACUUUUUUCUAGUAGCCUCUCACCAUUCUCUUAUUUUGUCUUCAGUUUUGUUGUAUAUGCAAGCAAAAAAUUAUAUAAAAAUGAAGAGAUUUCGAUGAGAGAGAAAAGGAAGGCAAGCAGAAAAUCCUUAUCUCUACGCCUCAUUCUUCCUUUAUCCUUUGGGAUAAAACAAUAAAAAAAGACUAUAAGAAUCUGCAAGAAAAAACAUGUGGAGAAAGCCAACAGGAAAAUCACAACCAAAACACCUGAAAAAAAUAAGGGCCUGCAAUCUUUUCUUAUAGCCAUCUAGGAGAAAGCCCCCCUUAAUUAUCAUUUAUCAAUAAACUGAAAACCAUAGAAAUUAUAAUAUCAUCCUUUUUCACUAUCUGUUUCAUUACUUCCAAUUUCAAUCUAAUCAGGCACAAAACAAAAAGUUAACUAAAAAUUCCCAUGACAAUACAUCAAGUUGUAAAUCUUAAAGAAUUAGUUAAGGAACAGUUAAGCCAUUUAUGAAACUUGGAAGGUUGUUUUUAUGCUAAAACUUAUUACAUACACAUUUUACACAUUGUCCCAUACUCGAUUCCUGCAAUGCUGUCAAAAUCCCGAGUAAACUCACAAACUUGAAUGAUCCUGUGAAUCAAGAAACUACCAUGAACUGAUGCAAAUGGCAGAUUGUGCCAAGACCAUGAUGUUGGCGGAAUCACAGGAUUGUGUGCCACGUCAAUCCUUUCCAUCUUGUGAAGCUAGGUUUGCCAACCCAUAUGUUGGCUAAUAAGCAACCCAACCCGAUCCAAAAUCAAAGUCUAACACUUGUGUGACCCUUUUGUUCAGCUAGGGUUCCCAGACACUCAUAUAUAAGAAACGGAGACUCAAGAUGGUGCACACACCUCUUACAAGUUGACUUACAAUAUUUUAUCCCUCUUCGGAUCAUCUUACAAUCCCCAAAGAUUACUGAACCCUUUUUUCAAUUCUCCAUUUCUAAGAAUUUCAAAUGAUCAUACUAUCAAUUCUCAAAGUCCAGUGAACUAGGACAUAAAAUAAUUGUACCAAGUUCCAUUAAAAGAUUGUACUAUACCUCAGUUAUGAGAAUUUUGGCUCUCAAUGCAUCAGAAUUACACGGUUCAAGCAUAAAAUCUGGUGUUGUAUCACCGGUGAAGGCCACCUCAGGAGAUAAUAUAGUGUCUGUAAUCUAGAAAGGAGAGUUCAUUAAAGGUAAGGUUCAAAGAAGAUUUAGGUCCAAAUUGAGCUCCAGCUAUCACAAACCUCGGCACCAGCCUUCUUCAAUUUCUCAAUUUGUUUCCCAUUCAAGUGUGCAUACUGUUUCCUCAAUUUUUUCCUGAUUGAGUAGAAUACAUAGCCCUGCAUAAAACAAGUACGUGUUUUCAGCAGAUAAAGGUGUUGUGAUGCCAGAUCGCAAGUCUUCACACAAUUUCAAACUGAAAUAUCAAGAAACAGAAGACAAUACUGUACACAAAAACAAAAAUAUGCUAAGCCAAAAUCCGUUAAUUUUUCUGCCAAAGUCUUUGUUCAAAAGUUUUAGUACACAGAACGAGUUAACUUCUAGCACUGAUAUAACAUGCCCUUCAGUUAAAAGAAAAUGGCUACAGAAUGGUUGGUUGAAAGAUACCUGGCUAGGUAUAACAUGUUGUGUUCUGAAUGGUCGGACAACAAGGUUAUUCCGUAUCUCAUAUGUCUCCCCUGAAAUGAAACUUUGCAUAUCAUUUCCUUGAAGUUAUCUCCUCAUCAUUAACAACAGACAAAAUGACACAUACCCACAUCCAAGGCGACCACUUCAGCAUUCAAUUCAACCUGGCCCAUUGUUCUGUGAAUAUCAAGCAGCUUCUCAACAUCCUCUUUGAUGCAAGGAGGCACAAAGAUAGUGGGAGGUUUUAAAUUGAACAAACCACGGCUAGCUACAUACAUUGGCAGCCCUCCCUAAAUCAUUCAACAUUGUAGCACACUUAUCCCAAAUGUACAGUUAACAUCCAAAGUACACGAUACAUAGAACAAAUAAACCUUACAAAGAAACUACUAGGAUGCAAUCGCACAUUUACAAAGAAACUCACAAAUCACAAGCAGGACCCACAUGGAUCAGUGAAGACCAAGAAAAAAAGGCAAUCAUUGUGUAAGUUGUUUUUAGAAUGUGUUUGGUUUAGAAAAAUUCCAUUUUCCAGCGCAUGUUGAACCCAAACCUCCUCUCACAUUAGAUGCACAUUCAAUGUGACUGAGAACUUAUUCAAACACAGCCUGUAUAUGCCAUCAACAUUAGUCCUUGCCAUGACCACAUAUAGGCCUAAGCUCUAACAGAGAAGACUUUAAUUAAAAAAAAAAAAAUCAGUGUUUUACUUUAUUUUCAAUUUUCAAAACUUUAUAUAAGAAACUAUAAAAAUAACUUUUUUUUAUUCUCUGUUUUCACUGUCUCCUAAACAGAAUAAAACUCACAUUUUUUUCAUAACAACCUUCUGGCAAUGCAAAUAAAGUAUGAAUUGGCCUUUCCAUACAAUCUAUUAAGCUAACAGAGAGCAUAUGAAAUUUACCCUUUCUCCCCUUUUCUACGAAUCCAAAAUCAAAAUCAAAAUCAAAAGAAAAAGCAUCACCCCAUAGAAAGUUAUUGGUGACAAAAGUGGAGAACCUUACAAUGUGAUCAAGAUGAGCAUGAGUAAUGAAAAGGAAAUUUUGAUUAAUAGCUCUACUAGGGCACCUCCCAAUAUCAAAAGUGCUCUUGAAUUCAGGGAUAAUGAUACAUGUCUCUUGGCCUCCAACUGAAAUACCCUCAAUGGAAUAACCUUCCAAUUCCAGAACUUUCCGGUUCACCUGCGACCGGGCUAUACGGUACUGCUCUUCGUGAUCAAUUUUUUUGCUAAUUUCAGACAAAUACCCCGACCCUUUCAGCACAUUGACAUGGGUUUGCGUUGAAACUUGGUGGUGCAGUGGCUUUGGAGGGAAAAUGGGGUGGUGCAGUGGGAAAUGUUGAGGGAUCUUGAAGGCUAAGUGGCUAAGAGAAAUAUGCAUUGUUGCUUAUGAAUUUGAACGGUGAUGGAUAGAAAGAGGGACUGAAAAAAGAGGGUUUAAUCUGGGUUUUACAGAUGUUGGUGGGUGUCUAUCUAAAUCAACCACAGGGACAUUGGUGAUGGAAUUCGAAGAUAAGGUUAACUUGCUAAAACACUGUCGUUUCGACUUUCAGGUUUUAUUGCUAUUUCUUUUAAAUGAUUCAUUUCCAAAAUCUGACAAAAUGGAUUCUUCUACAUCUUGUGGGUUGAUAUCAUUAUUAUAAUUUUCUAGGGGAAACAUGAGUCUCCAUUCUUAUUUUACUCAUGAUAGUUAAGUGAAAAACUAAUUAUUAUAAUAAAGAUCAAACUAAAAGUUUAUUAUAAAAUAAUAUUAAAAUUAUGAAAGAUAUGUCUAUAAAAAAAAUAUGUAAAAAUAAAUCAAUUUUAUUAAUUUUUAUAAUUUUAUUUUGAGUAUUUUUCAUGACAAAAUUGUAAGGAAUUGCAUAAAGAAAGACAAUUACAAGGACAAUCUUUUCUAUUAAUGGUAUAAAUUAUCACUGUUCAAUAGUAAAGUUAGGCCUAUCAUAUUUUGACAGUUUUUUAAUUCGAUUGAAAAUAGAUUUCAGUGAGAAUUAAGUAAAUAUGAUUUUUCUAUCAUAUACUUUUAUGAGAUAAUGCGUACGCAUAACAAGUUAAGUUUUUCUAUCAUUGGAAUACAAAACUGUUAAAAUUCUUCAAUCUAAUGUCACAAGAUAAAGAGAGUUACGAAAAUCCAUUGCUUUCACAUAAUUUUAAGACUGUGUUGUAUUGAUCCGUAUGAAUUUUAUUGCAAUAAACCUAUAUACUACUUUCAUUUCCUAGCAAUUAACAAAAACAAGAUUGCAAAGGUAGAAGUAUCAUCUUGAUUUCUGGUUUGACAUAUCUACAAUCCACGAACAUUAACAACAUACUGUUCAUCUACUGAAUGAAAUAGGAGAAACGUUUGUUUGAUUCUGUAAAUGCUACAUCACUGCAAACUGAAAGUCUUGAAGUUGACAAUAUUAUCUCUGCAUUUUGCAAGAUGAAGCCAUGAAUGAUAGGCAAAGGUAACCCUUUACUAAGACGUGUAUUGGCAUGCGGCAAGAAGACAGUUUCAAUGAGCGUCCACACAACUGGCUGCAGUAGGAAAUCAUAACAUACCCUUUAUCAAUGAGGCGUUAUAAAAUUAAAUUUUCAGUCACUGUUAUGCGUCAUAUACAACAUAAAGGCACCUGAAUGAGGUGCAUCCGCAGGUUGCCAAUUUUGCUCCAUUUCAAUGACAUUUGAAAGUCAUUCAAUCUGAUAUCACCAACGAGGUUGUUUCCACUGAUUUUGAGCGCACCUGUAGCUUGAAUUACCUGUAGAAACAGGAUGUAAUGUAGCAAUAAUGGUCAUCCUUGUAACGGAUCAAUAUAUUUAUAAAAACAAACAAGGACCUCAGCAGCUGUUAGUCACAGGAUUUGGUCAUGAAGGGUGGUACUGCUUCAAUGCCAUUUUUAAUUAUGAUGGUUAGAGGGAAAAGGAGAGAAAGGAUUAUGAAUAAUUUGCAUCUGAUGAAAAUAUGACUUGUUAUGUAAUGAGAUGCAAAGAACUACUACCCAUUUGUUUUUAAUAAUUCAGAAUAACUAGUAUAUAUGCUGAUUGCAGCUCCAUAGAGAUCACUAAUAUCAUAAGAUUCCCCAAACAUUGAGAUUUCUAAUAUUAUAACAUAGUUUACUACUCAAUCUUGGCUUUAAUUAUUUUUAAACUUACUAUUCUUUAAUUAUGUGUCAUCUGUCCACCAGUGGUUGAGUAGAUAAAUAGUAUCUGGCUAAAAUAUAUUCCGUGCACAGAUACACAAAAACAAAGUAGUACCUUAUUAGUGCUAAUAAAGCUAUCUAAUAUAAGACUUUAGUAAUUCAUUGAAUAACAACCAGUUCCAAAAUCACUACCAAGUUAAACUGGUUCAAUAGUUGGUUCUUUAAACUCAGCCUUUCUUGAUGCUAGCGAGGUAUAGGAAACAAAAAUGUUUGUAUUUCUUACCAAAUAGUCGUUAUAUUUGUAGUUGAAUCAAUAAAAAAUAUUGUUGUAGUUAAAAAGCAAUCAUUGAUAGAAAUCCUUUAAACUAGAAUAUUCAUUAGUCUGACAUACAGGGCAAACACUAAUAGUUGCAGCCAAAAACAUCCCAGCACUGUUGACUGACAAACCAAUCCAUUGGGCAGGAAGAUUGAUUAGCAAGAUUCAAAGAGAAAUGACAGCACUGUAACAAGGUUGCUAUGGAUUAGCUUCCUUUUAUAGAAAAAAAAAUAUAUAAAGGAGAACUGCUAAAAGUUGUACGAUUAAGCUUUUAGAAUAGAAAAAUGACUCAUCUAAUAGCUUUCAUUGUAUGCUGAACUGAUUUUAAUACAUAGCAGCCCACAGAACUUAUCACGAAAUAAUAUUUAGAGGCAUCCAAGUAAUAUUUAGAAUGGUGACGAAUAAAAAUACACAGAUAAAUUAUGGCGAUAAAGGUAUUUAAUUUAAUGCUAAUGAUCUUACCAAUGAUAUGCAUGCCACCGGUAUUACUUUGUCUUCUUCCAAAACAUCAAUUGUCAUGUCUACAAUUGUGUUGGCACCUGCUUUCUGAUUUGAUAUCUCCACAACUGGAGGAGAAGAUAAAGAUACAUUCAAGUUCAUGUCAUGAUUUGGGUAUUUCUUGUACAGCUGGGGAAUAAUAAAUCUCCAUCCUGCAGUGUUCAAUAGAGAUUGAUCUGGUAUUUGGUCUACGAUCCAGUGCAUAAAUUUUGCCUGAAGAGUGUAAGCAGUUUCUUUGAUGCCAAUCCAAUGAUACAAAAAGAAGAACUUUUUAAGAAAAUAUGAUUUAAUAUCACAAGCAAACAUCUAAACUUACAUCAUAAUAUAAGGCUGAUGCGGAGUAAAAACAGCCUCAUCUAAAGUGAUUCCUACCAUUUUUGAUGAAUUUGUGCAUAGUAUUGGAAGUUUCAAGUUAUCGUGGUAGAGGUCAAGAAUAGGUAGGGAAGGAUUUCUUUUUAUAAAUAACCCAUUGGUUUCAAAUCCAACAGAUGAAUCACUUAAUAAAACAUCAUUCACAAAAGUUACAUUCAGAGAAGUGUGGUCAUCAACCGGGACUUCCUUUGGAAGACUUUCCAAAUAUGAGUCUAGUCUUGAAAUCCCAUUUGUAAGUUUCUUGGUGAUGGCAUUUUCAACUGCUGAACCAAUUUUCUCUUCAAAGGCAUCAACUACCCUGUUAGAUAUGAAGAAAAAUUAAAAGUCAAAAAACCAUAGAAUAAAUUUUUGCCAGUUAAAGUUGACAACGGAAUGUGUGAUUAGAGGAUGAAACUAAAUAUGCUGGAAAACUUCAAAUAACAAUAUUUCAUAAAACAUUAACUACAACAACAACAUACUGUGUAUAUUCACCAUAUUAUUUCACCAGGCUAACUGGAAAAAUUUGGAAACUAAAAAAGGAGAUGGAGAUGGAGUGGGGAAUGAUCAGUGGGAAGAAGUCACAAUUGUGAAUUUUCUGUGCACAGUACCGUGGCAUUUAAUUAGAGGAUUUCCAGGUAGUAGUAUUAGUAGAUUGUUGUGCUAUGCACAAUUUCAUAUUCACUAAGUUGGUAGAAGAAUUGAAACUCCCUCAUAGCAGAAAACCCCUCUUACUUUGUAAAAGUAGGGAAUGGGCGUAAGCCAUGAUGCAAGGAUGUACGCUGUGAGUCACACUAGAAAGUAUGCAAAUCCACCAAAACUUUUUCCUAUUUAGACUUGGUGGAGCUGAUGAUGUGUUGGGUCUGAACUCAUUAGAAGGUUUGGGCAAAAAAUAAGAGCCAUUUUGAAGACUUGACAGUGAAGAUGAAGGUUGGUGGAUAGGAUGAAGUACUCAUAGGAUAACCUCUAUUGACUAGGUCAGCAGCAUCACUUAUGUCUAUGUAAAUGUUCUACAAGACUAGGGACAUAAUUUUGAGAUUGGUUUCAAUUCCAUAACUGAGCCUACUGGAGGUAAAGAAGAGAUUUCCAACAGUUGUUGAAGAGGUUCUACACAAAUUUGAGGAUCUUUAUGAAGCAUCAGCAGGUUUGCUUCCUACUAGAAUAGAAGCAUUAUCAUGAUACUCACCUCAAAGAAGAAACCACCAUUCCAAAUAUUUAACCAUUUAGGUAUCCCCCGUUAUCAAAAGUCAGAAACUUACUCGUUAAGGAAAUGUUUGCAACAGGUUUAAUCGAACAUAAUAUUAACUCUUAUUCAAACUCUACUAUGUUAGUUAAGAAAAAGGAUGAAGGACUAAGAUUUUGUAUGGACUACAAGGCUUUGAAUAAACUCAUAAUAAUCAGCAAGUUUCCGAUCCUUGUUUCCCACCAUGUUUUUCUUUCCGUAUUCUUUUUUAUUUUUUAUUUUUUAAUAAAAUCUUCAUGUAUAUACUGAAAUUAUGGAACCCAAACAUUAAUUUGGAAAAAGGGGCAGUUUUUUGAGUAAACGUUUUCAGUUUCCAUGUCUUAUUUUCGCUCUAAUUACAAAAUGCACCACAUUUUGAUUCAGUUUUCUGUUUUCAAAAAGAACAUGAAAAUAAAAAAAAUAAAAAUAAAAGUAAACAUGCACUAAGGCAUCUACGCUUAAAAGAGGAAGGAUAAGCAGCUAGCAGCACAAGUUCUAUAAUGCUACAAAAGAUAUGUUCCUUUAUGAGCUAGAAUCUAACAUGGAUAUUUCCGUACCCUUGAUAAAGCCAAGAUGCACCUCCAUCCAAUUUUAUUGAAAUAUCUUUAACAUUAGACCCGCAGUCCUUGAGUUUCAGCUUCAAAGACCCUUCCUGAUUCUCCAAACCCAAUGUAAGUCCAACUUCCAUGCUUUUAACCUUUCCAGCAGUACCACUAAUCAAAUUCCUUUCUGAUUACAGCCGUGAAGAACAGAUAGGAACAGAAAUAACAGUAAAAAAACAUAUCAUUUUAAGUCCAUGCAAACAAGAACAACCAUAUACCAAUAUAAGAAUAUAAACUUUUCAUAAAAUAAGUAAAGCAAGGGUACCACAUAAAUUCCAUACUGCAUGCCUUUGUACAGUUUAUAAUUAAACAGGUUAACAUUGGUAGAUACCGAAACACACAACAGAAAAUGAUAAAGUAUCCUUCAAAUCACAAGGCACACAGAAAAUUAGUUAUCAAGAAUCCCAUUUCCAACAAAACCCCUUUAAAUUCCAAAGAACGAGCAACAAGUGAACCAAAGAACUCCCUUCUGCCCCCCUUAGAGAGACUAUGUUUCAAAUAAGAACUAACAACACAAUUUUGGCACUUCACAAAACAUAAUUGCGCACAUAUAUGCAUUUAAUUGUCAACAAAUCAGAAACCAUUAUAGAUAUAACUUUCAAUAUAAUUGUUAUGAAAGCCAACAAACUUAACAGGACAAUCUAUAAGUUUACGACAGCAUAUAAUAACUUUUAAAGGGCAUUACAAUUAAAUUAUCGCUAUAUAUAAAGUUAUAAACAAAAACAAAGGAUCAAUUUCUUACCUGAACUUCUGCUCUACCUCUGUCAGAGAUCUCAACAGGCACAAGCCAUGUGCUGUAAGAAUAAUACCAAUUCAUGCUCAAAUCACAAGUAACCCCAGAAGCUGUAAUGGAAAUUCCAGUCUCCCCUGGCUUGACACUUGAGGAAGGAACAUAGAUAUGAUAAAUUGUGAUGUUGGAGAGCACCAUGUAAACAUUACCCACAACUGGGAUUUUCGCAGUCUUUUCAAUAUUCGGCAACUGAAGUGGGACGAGUGAGGAAAUUGCCUUAUUCACCAGUAACUCCUUCACAAAGUCAAGGCCGUUUUGGGUAAUCGACAGGGAUAUAAAAGCUUCGUUUUGGGGAUGAAAUUGAGCAUACCCAUGAUUCAAGGAAGAGGCUAGUAGAAGCAGAACAAGGAAAGAUGCCAUUUUGAUUCGUUUUCGAAAAUUGGAUUUGAUCAUCUGUUGCAAAGACAAAGAUAACAUAGGGAAAGUGGUACGAGGACAAAUCUUCCAAGGACUCAGAACACACUGUUCAUGGACUGAAAAGUCCGUUUUGCCCAUUCUGAUUUGGAGUUCAUCAAAUUGAAAAUAAAUAAAUGCCGACAAAUUCUAAAAGAUAUUAUUUAUUUAUUUACAUAAAAAAAAAAGUUUGGUAUCAUUUUCUAACCAAAAAACUAAUUUCCAAGAACCUGAUUAUGUUCAAAAUAGUUUAGAAUUAUUCUGAGCAUUUGAUAUAUAUUAUUAUGUUUAAGAAUUCAAUUAAAAAUGAUUAAUUAAACUAAAAUAAUUUUAUGAUAAUCUGAUUCUCACGAUUCAAAAUUUAUAUAUAUUACAAACAUACUUCUUUUUAAGUCAAACUUGAGUUGUACUGAACUUGUCUAUGAUCAUCACGUUAAUUGUGUUUUCAAUAUAGUCUGAUGCUAUUAUAUCAUCACUUUGAAUUAUGAUUAUUAUAUUUUAAACAUUGGUUAGUUUCCUUAUAAAAACUAAUUUUAUUUGGUUCUUGAUUUGCAAGAAGUAUCUUCCAUGUUUGUGACAUAAACACAUAAACAUAAAGGAUUUGAAUGGGAUUAGCCUUUAAUGUAUACUCUUUUUUCACUAGUACAUUUGCCCUGCUAUACUUAGGAAGUAAACUUCAUGAAAGGCUCCAAGAAUAAUACAAGUGAUAAUCACUUGUUUCCAUGCUCAAAUAUAUAUAAAGAAACUAUUGACAAAAUGAUUAGCUAUUGCUAAAGGGGCUACACUAUUUAAGAUUCAUGAUUGAUUUUUUUCUAGAGGGUCAACGUAGGGAUUAUCUUAGGUAUGGUAUUUAUGAUCGGUGCUGUCAUUUUUUGCUUUCUGAGAUCAUCCCAACCUAAUUUCAUACACGUCAAUCAUGUGCCAUUUACUUUUGCCACGUGUGGGAAAUGAUGGAGACAUUUUUGGAGGCUUUUUUAACCUAAUCAUGUGCUUAAGAUAUUCAGAAUCUUUCUAUUAAACCAACACACAUUGUUUUCUACGAAACAACAUAAUUGUUGAAUCUUAAUAAUGGGCAUUUUCAUGUCUCGGUUAUAAUAAAAUAACAACUCCUGUUCCGCAACUAAUUGUGACUGCAUUGAUUUUUUACAACUAAAUAAUGGAUGAAACUUUGGAAAACAAAUAUCAAUCAGAGCAACCAUCUCAAUCCUGCACUUGUCAUUAUGUACAAUGUACACAUAAGAUUAUGGAAUCAAGAAUCUACAAGAGAGUCCAACCACUACAUCUCAAUAUAGUACCAGAAACAUAAUAUCAGAGUUUAUUUUAUUACAAGUUACACAUUAGAAGCUUUCGAGGAGCUUAAUGUAAUCUCUGUCCUGCUUCCCGCUUGCUUUUGCUUUUGCUUAACAUCCUUGCUAGCAUUUCCCCAACCAUCUUUCUUGCUUACCUGUGGAAGCAUUAAAAAUCUAUAUUUUUAGGAGAUGGUAAAGAUACACAAGCACCAUUCUCAAGCAUUCAUAUCAUAUCUUUGGUGAUCAUGACAUUGUAUUUAGAAAGGUUAAUGAAUCAUUAUUUUGUUUCUUGAAGUUGAAAGUCUAAAGUACUGCUAUGUUAAACAAAAUUUCAGUUUAUUCAUAUAUAUAUAUAUAUAUAUAUCUGUCAACUUAUUUGUUUAGUGUCAUUCUUAUCUUUGUAAGGAAGGAACACAAAUGAAAAUUUCAGUUUAUGCUUGGCUUGGAUGGCAUGAGAAAUAAUGAAAAUUUCUGACCUUUGGCUGCUGCUCUUCAUGGAAUUGAUAACUUGGCACUGUUUUCCGUCUUGAAACGGUUCUCCUUGCCUUGAAGUUGGCCUUUGCUGUGUGGGGUUUGAAGCUAACUUUUUCUUCUUCUGAAUUGAUUGAAUAGUUAUCAAAAUGAAGGGGCACCUCAUUUGAUCCGCAGCUCUCCUUUUCUUCCCCAGCAGCAUCUAAAAAUCUUGUCAUGAUUGUGAAUUUGUGAUUACAAUUAGAAGGUUCAUAUUGCUUCAUGGCAUGGCUUUCAACUGAUGAAGUCUCUGGAAGGCGUGUUGCCAUCCAUCUCUCAAGCCAGCUCCAACUCAUAUUUGAUUCCAAGCUGUUGUGUUUUGUUAAUUUUCUCUUUGAACAAAUCCUUAGCUGCAACAACCAGGAUCAGUAUUUUGCUGUCAGCCAUGUUUGUCCUUUAUCCACAUUUGAUUGUGUGUAUUGUCAAUGUAAUAAGAAAUCACUGAUUAUACGACUUUUAAGUUAAUUGUUGUAUAAGUCAAACAAACUUAUAAUACAAGGUUGCUUGUAAUUGAAUGAUAAUGUUAAAUACACCAGUGCAUGUGCUAUUUAGUCUUUAGUGUUUACCUGUUGUGAGAAAGCAUAUGCCAGUGCUCUUUCUCUUCUGGUUGAUGCCUCCAUUCUACUCUGCAUCCUCAUUUUUGAAACAUAACUACUUACAGUGCUGUCAUCCCAGUCUUCCUGAAAAUGCCUUGUGUUAUUUUGCAGCUUAACAGAAUUUUUAUUGGUUUCAAAAUAUGGCCAAUUCAAUGGUCUAAUAACACUCUUAGAAAUGUUCCAACUAUGUGUGAUGUAUGUAAAAUGAACCAACCUUGCUUGCUUUAGCUGUAGCUCAAAUUAACAUAAAGGAUGAUUUAUCAUGUUAACAUAUCAUCUUCGUUAUUCCCUUUUAUCAAGUUUUUGUUUUUGUUUUCUUUUCUGUAGAAGAAAAAAAAGGAUAUAAUAUUAUAUUAGCCACUCUUUUUGUUAGUCAUCUGAAGUUUAAGUGGGGAAGAUGUCUUAAAAUGCUAAUUUUCUCUAAUUUCUUUGUCCUUUUCUUCUGAAUUCAUUCUCUCGAGCAUCUUAGUUUUCAUUUUCUCUUUUAACCAAAAACCAGGGGGGCUAUCAUUAGCUUGUGUUAUACCUUUUGCUUUAUUACUUGAGUUCUGGUCCUGCGCUGAAUUCGGUGGCAAAGGCCCUUUUUUUCUCCUUCAACCGAGAAAACUUCAGUGGAGUUUGCAGUUUGGACUUCAACUGAUGUGCCCAUGGACUUUCUAUCAGGACUUUCUGUUACUAAAUUGAACUCCUCUUUUCCUGUUUCUGAUCUGAUUUCUCCACUUUGACGCCUCAACUGCAAUGCAUCAUAUUACUGAUGUCAACAUUAUAUGCUAUGAUCAAUGAAUAAACAAAGUAUUAAUCAUGUGAAUUUUUGCACAAACAACUGCUAAGGAUAUUUCCUUCGGUACAAUUUUUGCAUAGACUAAGAUAUUCUGUGUGAAUAAGAAGAUUGAUAUAAAUAAACUUUGGUUAGUUUACCAGGAAGCCUCUAAAUGCUGAUUGAAUAAGAAUUGCUGCUUCUUCUUCAGUCAAUGAUUUGGAGUCUGAAUUUGGCCUUUUCUGUGUUACAUUCUCCACAGUUUCUUCACUAUCGGUGUCUCCUUUAUCAUUCAAGUCUUCCAAAAUGGACUGCGAAACCGUGACUUCAGUGCUCUUAACUGAAGCUGAAUCAUUCUCUGCAACGACUGAAUUGAACUCAUCGCCACACAAGUACGACCUAACAGAUAACCAUCUUCUAUUUUCAGCACUACUGCGUUUCACCUGCUGGCAUGUCAUAAUUCAAAGCUGGUUAAUGAAAUAUACAGUGGACAUUACUGUGACACUAGACCAAUGAAUGCUAACAACACUAUUGGAAUGUAAACUGAGCUAAAAGAAUUGUAGUACCAUGCUUUUCAUACUAUACAUACAAGGUAAAAUUAAAACAAGUAGUAAAUAAAGAAGAAAGAAGUUAAAGAAUGGAGCUUUGAGAUACCCACUUUGGUUUCAUGCGACCCAUCAGAACGAUUUUUGGAGAAGACACUUCUUACCAAUUCCCCAGUGAACCCCAUUGGAGUUUUGGAAUUUCACAAGUGAAAUGUGGAUGACUGAUAUUAAUAUGGCAAUGCAGAAAGGUGGAGUAGGGUGCAUUAUUAGGAUUGGAUAAAGUAUAAUAAGGAAAGUGACACAUUCUUACUUGAUGAAGAAUAUUAAGCAUUAAAUAUGAAUAAAGUUGGGUUAUUUUAAAGGUUACACGAAACUGGUAGCUUUAAUAUGUAGGGAGAGAUCACAUGUUAACCAGAAAUAGAUUGAUGAUGAUGAUCUGUGUGCAGGGAUUGCAGAGCUGUAAGGGUACCUUAUAAGUGAGAAAAUAAUAGAAGGUGGAAAAGUUAAAGAAGGAUAAAAGGGUAUGGAUUUGAGUGCAUGUUGUAUAUACUUUUGGCACAUGGCUUGCAGAUGGUAGGCUUUUAUAAAGCUUACUUGUUACUGGGGUAAUGUCUAUUAUUCCUUUCUGGUUACUACUUCUUCUGUCCUUAGCCUCCUAUUUAGUAUUUAUAUUUUAUUUUCUUUUCGUUUUCUUACUUUAGUUUUAUGCCACUGCCUUUGGGAACAGGUUAGGAAGCCUAUCAUUUCUUUUCUUUUUUCCAUGGAUUCUUCACUGUCAAAUUUCUACUGCUUUGGCACGUGUGCUAUGUUUCUUUGUUUUUGGAUGAACUUGCUAUGUGGUAUAAAAAUGUAAAUCUCUUUUAAUAAAUUAGUUUUAUAAAAGUCAAGUAAAUUUAAAAUUUAUUUAUGAUGAAGGAGAAAGUGUAAAAUGAUAGUAUAAGUGAAGGGAAGUAGUUAAAGAUUAGCCAUCAUAUGUGCAUGGUAAUUAGAGAAUCAUGGAUUGCUCAAUAAAAAGGAAAAGGGUACUUAGAAAACCCUACUUUUCCUUCUCUUACUCUACCAAAAAUAGAUAUAAUUUCUUUGGUGGAGCUUUUGGGAAAUUGUGGGAAUUUAAAUAAUAAAUAUUUAAACGAUGAUUAAAUGUUUAUGUCUUUUUAUUAUAAUUAUUAAAUAUUCUAUUAAUAUAUAUAGUUUUUAUUAUGACAAUAAGUAAUAUAGAAAUUUACUUUACUUUUUUUAGUUUAUUUAAACAAUAUCUUCUUUUUUUUACUUUUUUUUACUUUUUUUUUCUACUUCCUACUUUUCAUAAUCUAAUACAAUUAGACUCUGAAAUAUUUGAUUGUUUAAAUAAAUAAAGAGUUGCUUCCCGUGAUGGUAUCACUUUCUUUCGUGUGUUUUGUUGUCCAAUAUUUUAUUUUACUAAAUAAUAGUAAAACAAUACAACAACAUUUUUAUAAUGAAAAAAAAAAUAGUGAUUUCGUUAUAUGCUUAAUAUAGUUUUUUUUUUUAAUAAAAAUUACACGCUAGCGAUUACUAUGGAAUAUGCUUAAAUAUAAUUUUGUCUUUAAAAGAUCGAUAAAUUUUAUAUUUGAUUUUCAAUGUUUUUAUAUUUAUUUCUAAAAAAAUUAAUUUGUGUUUGAUAUUUUCUAAUUAUUUAUAUUAACAUGGUAUGUCACCAUAUAGUAAAAAAACAUAUUAAUUAUUAUAAAAAUAAAAAAUUAAGGAUUAAUUUUUAAAAAGUAUUUCAAAAAUUAGUUUAAAAAUAAACAUAAUGGUAGAAAGAAAUGUAAAUAAAUAUUUUGCGAGAACUAAAUACGAAUUUCAAUAAUCAAAAGUGAAGAAGAAAUUUAUUUGGUAAUUGUUAGUUUACAAUUUUUAGAGACAAAAACAUAUUUAAACAUUUGUUAUAUGAUUAUUUUCUCGUAAGAUUCUAAUACAUGAUUGAUUUGUGAAGUUCACAAUAACAUAUUUAAUCAAAUUACAAACUUAUCCUUCAUUUUACACUUAAUGACAUGAACGAAUCAAGUUUAAGUUUUAUAAAUUAGCAUUGGUGUAUAUAAUAAUAAUAAUAAUAAUAAUAAUAAUAAUAAUAAUAAUAAUAAUAAUAAUAAAUAAAUAAAGAUCGAUUUAGUAAGUUGCAAUUGUGAUUAAUUGAAUCGUUUUUUUGCUUAAAAUUCUUCUACUAUGUUUUUUUCUUCUUAUUUUUAAUUUAAUUUUUAUAUGGAAAUAUUUAUUAAAUCUCCCAUUAAUAAACUUAAAGUAAAAAAAAAACUUCAAGAGUACAUUUACUGAACAUUGUAAGUAAUAAGAAGACGUGAAGGAUAUAAAUUAUAGGCUAAUCCAAGUAGUUUAGGGAGAUACAAUCUCAUAAAACAACAUUUUGAUUAAUUAAAAAUGAUCAAGAGAAAUUAUAAACAAAGAGGUGAUGAAAUUAAUCUAGUUAAUAUAAUUUAAUUGAACAGAUUGAAGAUAGUGCAUGAGUUAUUAUAAACUUUCUCACAUGCUUUGAAUUCUUACUAAUAAAAAAUUCAAAAUUAUUUCCCUAUAACUUGGAAGUGGUAAAGAAGACUCAAUAAGAGGAGUAAACAAAACCCACACAAAAGACAAAAUUAGGAUUUCAAACACAAAUUCCUUGUAGAAUUCAACAAUUGCAUUGGUUUGGUGUUGCAAAGCACCCAAGACAAACUACAACUCAGUCUUCAUUGAUACCUCCAUUUCCAAAGAAGACAAAGUUGAAGUAAAAUGCAACUUACAAGAAACAAUCUGCAACAAAACAAAAGCACCAAUAAAGGAUGAAGCUUUUGGAUCUUUCAGUUGAAGCAUAGUUGUGAAUUAUAUUUAUUUAUUAAAAAUUUAUAUAAAAAAAUUAUUCUAAAUUAUUUACAGAUUUUUAUCAUUACUUAUGAAUUUUUAAUAUAAAUAAAUGUAUUUUUUCAAAAAAAUUAUUAUUUUUCUAUAAAAAUAUAUUCAUAUUCUUCUAAUAAAAAAUAUAUAGCAAUUCAUAAUUUUAGUGAAUUAAAAAUCUUGCAUUAAUUAAAAAUAAAUAGUAUAUUUAAAUUUAUUAUGUUAAAGCUUUGAAUUAAAAGGAUUUUUAAUUUAUUUAGAUAAUUUUAUUUAUAAGUCAUCAAUGGUGUUUAAUACAUGUAUAUCUACCCUUAAAGAAAACAUAUAGAACUUAGCUAUGUGAAAGUGUAUGUGUCUACCCUAUAAGGUAUUAAAAAAUAUCAAUAAAAAUACAAUUUUUUGGGCAAAUAAUUCAUAAAUUUAUUGACACAUAUGUUCGAAAUGAUUACUUCUGAACACAUGCAUGUGGGCAACACAUUAAUUGGUGAACCCUUCAAUAUGUUGUGUCAUUCCAUUUUGGAAGGGUUAUGGUUGGAAUUAAUAUUACUAUAUUUAGAUAUUUAAUUGAGAAAUAUUAAAGUUGUGAUGAACAUGAACAUGUGCACUCCACUAAAGAGCGUGGACUUUGUGCUUCUUUUUCCUUUCAGGGUUGGAUGCCGUAGCUAGUGCCAAGGACCAACAUCACGUAACGUGAUUAAGUGCUUUAAACAAGUUUAUUUUUCUUAUAAAGUUAUUUCUUUUUGCUUUUUUUAUAUUUUUUUGUAAGUUUAAGAAAAAUAUUUGUCAAAAAAAUGUAUGAUAUGUGGUAGCAGAAGUAGUUCACCAGAAAAUUCUUAGAGAGAAUGUGAAUUUUUCUCUAGCUAUUUUGUGUUUGGUUAUAUAUAUAUUUUCCCAAUCAUCUUUCAUUUUGACUUUUUAUAUCUUUCGUACAAGCUUGUCUUAGCUUAUAAAUAAUGUUUGUUAAAAAUAAUAAAAACAAAAUCCCACAAAUAUGAAUGAAGAUUAAUUAAUAUUAUUUCAUACUACAUUUAUACAAAGUUAAUGAAGCAUUUUCCUUUUUGAGUUCAUAAUAUUUUCAAACUUGUCCAUUCGUUUUACAUAGUAAAUGAAAAAUAAAGGUUGAUUUCAUAGAAACACCAUCCCGAAAACUAACAAGUGGUCCUGGUGUGCUUGCGUCAAGUACAAAGAUAAUUUAAGGAUAUGGUCUUAGUGUACUGGCCUUCACGGAAUGGUGUAUAAAUCUACAUACCCCUAGGUUUAUACUCUUUUCCUUCAAAAUUCCAUGAUUUUGUUGAUGUAUGGACGCAUCCAGUCCUUUGAGAUAUGUGGUUUUUGUACGGUAAUGGAUAAAUUUGAUCCAAUAAUUACAGAAAUAGGCAAAUUUGGGAAAAAUUACACAUAUGGGGAAGUCGUGCUACCCCCUAACGACUUCAAAAAGAGAAGUCGUGCCACCAUUGCACGACUUCACACUGUUCAUAUGAACAGUGAUGAAGUCGUGCUACCUAAAAACGACUUCAUGCUGUUGUAAUCGAUUACGCUGGAGCUGUAAUCGAUUANCAAAAGCUAAAGUCGUGCCACCCCUGCACGACUUCAGCUUUGUAGACCAAAACCAGUGUGGUAAUCGAUUACUUGGACCUUGUAAUCGAUUACCUGCACUCUGAUUUGUGUAAUUUGCUUGGUAAUAGCUUACCAGUNNNNNNNNNNNNNNNNNNNNNNNNNNNNNNNNNNNNNNNNNNNNNNNNNNNNNNNNNNNNNNNNNNNNNNNNNNNNNNNNNNNNNNNNNNNNNNNNNNNNNNNNNNNNNNNNNNNNNNNNNNNNNNNNNNNNNNNNNNNNNNNNNNNNNNNNNNNNNNNNNNNNNNNNNNNNNNNNNNNNNNNNNNNNNNNNNNNNNNNNNNNNNNNNNNNNNNNNNNNNNNNNNNNNNNNNNNNNNNNNNNNNNNNNNNNNNNNNNNNNNNNNNNNNNNNNNNNNNNNNNNNNNNNNNNNNNNNNNNNNNNNNNNNNNNNNNNNNNNNNNNNNNNNNNNNNNNNNNNNNNNNNNNNNNNNNNNNNNNNNNNNNNNNNNNNNNNNNNNNNNNNNNNNNNNNNNNNNNNNNNNNNNNNNNNNNNNNNNNNNNNNNNNNNNNNNNNNNNNUGUGUGUGUGUGUGUGUGUGUGUGUGUGUGUGUGUGUGUGUGUGUGUGUGUGUGUGUGUGUGUGUGUGUGUGUGUGUGUGUGUGUGUUUUUUAAUUUGUGUAUCUAUUACGCUUUAUAUGUCAUUUAUUUAAAAUUGAUUAACCAGACAAAUCUAUUUGCAACGAAAAGAGAAAACAGGUGAGAAUAACAACGUAUACUUCCAUAGAUUUAGCAUCAAUUGCAAAAUAGUCUUAAAGUGGAUGUUUGUUCCUAAAGUUCCAAACGAUGUUAGGGAAACGUUUUUUUUUAUAGCCGUCAAAAUAGGUCACAAUCCGCGAGCCAACCUGGCCCAUCACGGGUUCGGGCCGGGUUGGGUUUGAAAAAUACAACCCACUUAUAUGCAGGUAAGAUUUCAACCCGGCUCAUUUAGACCCGGCUCAUGCGGGUUGAACCCGUGGUGAGCCGGGUUGGCCCACCAACCCACCUACCUAAUUUUAUUUUUUUAAUUUAUUAUUUUAUUUAUAAAACCCUAAAAAUAAAAUACUUUCUUCACUCACUGUGUAUACCAAAAAAGUAACAUCUGCUCUCACAAAUCACUUUCAUAGUACUUGCUCUCAUUUGACGGUGCUAUCACCCUCACUUCACUGAAAUUUUUCAAGGAACAGAUAAAACACCCUUCCUUUUUUCUUCUCUUUUCUCCACAUUUUUGUUUUCUCACUUCUCUUUCUUUUUUUUUUCAAAAACCCUAUAAUAACAAAAAUAGGGGUUUGCGAAUUUGUUUUUUUUCUGGGGGAUUUAAAGACAUGGAAUGAUUUUUUCAUGUUCUGACAUGCUUGUAUCAGAUUUUGUUCAUUUUAUUUAAACAAUUUGAGUAUACAUUAUUUGAACAAGCUCUUUUUGAUAUCUUUGAAUUUGAGAAAUUAUGUUACAGAUCAAACUGUUAUUUUUUUAUUGAUAUUGAUGUUGUUGAGUACUGAUUCUCUUUUUUUAAUAUUUUUUAUUGAUUGUCGGAAUUGUUCUGAUAUUAAGAAAAUCUUUAUUAGUGAAUUUGGAGACAAAAAGAACAAGGGAGGGUUACAACAAAAACAAAAAAAAAUGAUGAAUAUAAGAAACUUAUUUGUAUGUAUUUUUUGUUUGUUUUUUAAUGACAUUUGGAUAUAUUGUACUUAUUAUUAUUAUUUUGAAUUGUCUUUAACAUAAUUUUUUGGGAGUGAAAAUUGUUUAAAUUUAAAUUAGAGAAAGUUUGUAUUUUUUUAUUUUAAAAAAAUAUAAUUAAAUGAGCUAGUGAGCCAAUCCGUUUACCCACCAACCCGUGAUGGGUCGGACCGGGUUCAAGUUUUUCUGGCUCGCUAAUAAAUGAGCCGGAUUGGAUUGAUUCACUAAGUGACCAACCCGUGGUGGACCGGGCCGAGUCGAGCCGGAUUACCCGUUUUGACAGCUCUGAUUUUUUUAAUGUAUAUCGUGUUUUUACAACAACACAAAAACUAUAAUUGCUACAUGAUGUAGUACAAAUUUAUUAAAGAAUGUAAAACAUACUAAAAAGUUAAUAUUAGUUAAAUUAAUGUCAGAGAACGUAAAAUUUAUUAAAAUAGAAAAUAGUUACCAUUUUUAGGUGAAUAAUUUUUAAAAAAUAAAACAGUACUGCUUAUAUAUUCUUUUAUUAAAAGAGCUGCUUGUACAUUUAUAUAUAUAUAUAUAUAUAUAUAUAUAUAUAUAUAUAUAUAUAUAUAUAUAUAUAUAUAUAUAUAUAUAUAUAUAUAUAUAUAUAUACACAUAUAUACAUAUACUGUUAUUUUAUUGAUUUUGUUUGUUUUAAUUUUUAUUAUUUUUGUGGUAUGUUAAAUGUAUUAAUAUUGGUUUUUGGGGUAUUUAAUAUUUGACAAAUUGUGUUGCUAAGAAGUCCUUACUUGUAGUGUGAUUUUUUAUAUAAAAAUUAUAGUGUGAGUAUUAAUAUUCAUUGUAUUAAAUCUCAAACUACUUUUCUGGAUCAUUUAACAAGAUUAAUAAUUUUUUACUAAUUCAUGAGUACUUAUAUUUUAAUUUACAAAUUACAAAAAAAUAAAUAGUUUAUAAAUAUUAUCGUUAACUUCAUAAGCUAAUUAUAUAUUUUGAACUCGUGCAUUCUACAUUAACUAAUAGCUUAUUUUUAACUAAAAUUUUAUAUAUCAUUAAUUUUUAGUAUUUAUUUCUUUUAAAUACUAUUAAAUUUAAUUUAGAUGAUAAAAUGUAUAUUUGAUGUGCUGAUUGGAUAAUUUUUCAUAAAGAAACAUAGAAUAAAAAUCUAAUUGUCAAAUUUAUAUGUAAAGAGGUUUUCUCUAUUGUAAUAUGUAUCAUUUUAGAUCUCUUUGUAUCAUAUAUUAUUAACCAAUAUAGAAAAAAUAGCAAGUCCUUAACAUCUUGCAACCUAGAAUUUAUAAUUAAUUGAACUUUUUGAGACACUUAUUUUAUACAACAUAUUAUUUUUAUUUUUAUUUUGCCACCAUAGAUAUUAAUCACAUUAGUAUGUGUAAUUCGCAAAUUCUUAAUGUUCUACGGGCUAGUCAACAAUGGUGGCUAAGUAAAAUAUUUUUCUCUUUUUUAAAUAGAGACAUUAGCCUUAAAACCAAUGUACAAAAUAUUGAUUUCCAUUUUAAAAAACAAUAAUAAAAAAAAAGUCCUCUUAUAAGUGUGCUUUUCAUUUGAUAGCUAUUUCAAUAUUUUCAUUUGUGUUAUAAUAUGAAAGAAACAUUUUUUUCCAUGAUAUUGAUAGAAGUUGAAAGAGAAAUUUAGAGGUUCGAGGCAAUUUCUAUGAAGCAACUACGAAGGAGAAUAUUCUACAAUAAUUUAGUAAAUGAAACAUUGACGAACCGUAGAUGAAAAGCAGCAGGUUUUUAUCUGCAAAAAGCUUUCUCAUCUUCCAUUAAUACUGUUUAAAAAUUUGUUAAAAAAUAAACCUUAAGUAUAAUUUAAUUUUGUAUGGUAAGAUUGUCCUUACGAUAUAUUUUAAAUUAGUUUUAUUUUUAAUAAUGUAGAAUUUCUUACACAUUUUUUCCCGAGGUACAUAUAGAUGAAUGAAAACAUUUCAAAACCACGAACUAUUUUGUCAUAAAUCAUAAUGAGACAUCUUUAUGUAAACUUGUAAGAGGAAGAGAUUUGAUGCAACGGGUCUUUUAAGAAAAUUUAUUUAACACUUGCAACAACAACGAAAAAUAAACCUAAAUAGAAAAGAAUUUACAUAAUUUUCAAUCCAAAUUUUAAGAAUGAGUUUAUGAUUUUAUAUAUAUAUAUAUAUAUAUAUAUAUAUAUAUAUAUAUAUAUAUAUAUAUAUAUAUAUAUAUAUAUAUAUAUAUAUAUAUAUAUAUAUAUAUAUAUAUAUAUAUAUAUAUAUAUAUAUAUAUAUAUAUUAUUAGAUUCAUCCUUAUCCAUUUCUAUAGAUGGUCAAUGCAUGUGUAUGCUUCUUUGACUGUAUACAUUCUUCUAGAAAAAAAGAUAGACUUAUUUGAAAGUAAAUGACAAAACCUUAUUAAUCUGCAAAAACCAGACAGUGUGGCACAGACCAUUGAGGUAACAACCUUGUACAAAACCUAAUAAUCACACGGAUGAUAUACUUAUGACAGAUUUCCAUCACAACAUUCCAGUAUUGAGUGCUGCAGAAACAGGACUUGAUUGCAACUAUUGUAGGAACAAAAACAGCUAAACCAGUGGUAGUGUGCGUAGAUUACCCAAAUAAGUUCUAUAUAUACUCGUUGCAACAUAGAUAUAUACAAGAUAUAUAUUUCAAUUUGCAGAUAACGUUGGAAGAAGUCUUCAAAUAUAAGAAUUUUACAAAUAUCAGUUUAAAGGUUGAUUUUAUCAAAACCAGAAUUGCACUUCUUAACAUAUACUAAAACCAGAUCCACGAACUCUGUAUAGAAACAAACACGUGCCAGCAUGGUAGUACAGUUACUGAAUUUUCAAGCCGAUAAAGAAUGUAUAGUGAAAAGUAGAAGAAACUUUUGUGUGUCCAAAUUUUAUCAAAGUCUAACAUGUCUCAACAUUUGCAGACUAACCUUCAAUUCUUUAAUGUAUUAUUAUGGGUUCCUUUCUCCAUGGAAUGAAUUUAUCACAAGAUGAAACCCCUGAGAGGUAUAACUUAUUUUUUUUAUAUAAGCAUAAAAUAUCAUUCUUUUGUGUUUAACAUAUCUAUAUCCAGCCAUCUCCUACAGGUAAAUUAACUCAGACGAUGGUGCAGCUAUAGUGGUCGGAAUCAUAAACCACGUGACUAUGCAUGGGAGAAGGCGGAACAAAACUGUUACAUAAUGGACAACCUUGAAGAUAGGUUGUCCAAAUUUGAAAAGGUGGUAGAUGUGAGCGUGGUGAAUUUUGCUGUGGCGUGGCUUCUUCUUCCUCCUCCUCCUCUUUUUCUUCAUCAUCUUCUUCUUCUUCUUCUUCGUCUUCUUCCAUAUCUUCCACACUUAUUAGCGUGGCAUAGUGAAAUUUCUUUCUGAGCUUAUUGGUUAAUUGAACAGCAUCGACUCCAUCUCCGGUAACCACCACUCGGUCUCUGCUUUCGCCUUCUAAGGAUAGCGAAAGCACUCCUGCAAGAUUCACAUGGCUAUUACAAGCAAACACGAUAAACACUAGCUAGUUUUGAAUUAAUUACACCACUCACCAAGCAUAAACCAAUAGUUAAUUAGUGGAAUGAAAAGUGUUUAACCAUGAACCUACCUUGAGAUUUGGCAGCGACUGUUAGGACUUUGGUUCUGCAUUUUUCACUCUCCACUUGCACCUUUAUAACUAUUCUCUGCUGCAGCAUAUGGAAGUGUUCGAAGAACACACAUAUACAAAGUUAUUUUCAAAUAAAUGUUAGCAUAUGUUACUAUAAUUGGAAGUGAUCUCACCUUCAUAUUUUAAUUUGAUGAUAUGAAAAAAACUUUAACUUUCUGCCGUUGGAGCUAGAUAUCCGUAGGUGAUAUUGUUUAAGUUAACUUCUCUGUAAUGUGCUGAUGAUAUUAUAUAUACAAUAGGUUGAGUGCGUGACAGACAUUUGGAUCCCGUUCUGCACGCCAGGUAAAUUGUUUGAUGAACAAUUUUUUUAUUUUUUUUUAAAUAGUGAAUCUUCCAAUAAGAGCUCAUGGAAAAAUUAAAAUAUAUUACAAAAACUUAAUUUAAUUGACCUAAAUUUUCUUUUAAUAUUUUUAGAAUUAUAAUUGUUAAUAGAUUAAUCAGACCUAAUUCUGUAAAAGCUACUUCAAUUUCUUUUUCAUAUUGGUGUUUUUCAUGGUAAAUUGUGUACUGAAAUUUUAAAAAUCUCAAUUACACAUUUUUAUAGAUUAAUAGAUAAGUAGAAUUUCUUAAGUAAAAGCAACUAAAUAUAUAUAUAUAUAUAUAUAUAUAUAUAUAUAUAUAUAUAUAUAUAUAUAUAUAACAAUCAUAUUUAAAAAUAAAUAUAUUGUUUUAAAUACAAACAAGACACAAUAACUAAAUACAAGCAAAGAGAAUAACGGUUAUGAGAAGACUUCAGAAAAAUAUAGUAAAAAAAAUAUUAUGAAAAUAAAUUUUAUAUUUUAGUUCAACAAAUCUUCAAUAAUACUCAAACGCGUAUAUGAUAUAGUCAAGUCGUCGAUAAGAUAUUUUUCGUCACAAAUUUGGAAGUUUGGAGUAGUGUUAUAUUUAUUUGUAUCUACAGAUAAAAAUUUUAUGCAAAUUCUUUUAACUUUUAAUUACAAAGCCGAUGAAAGUAGUUGAAAUAUGUAUUCUAACUUCCAUCAUUACAAAUAUGUUUCCUAAACAUUAUUUUAAAACAUUUAAUUUUCUUAAUUUUUAAAUAUUCUUUUAAAUAAGAUAUACGUGAUAUCCCACUUACAUCUUAGAACUCAUAAUUAUGUCUUCAUAUCAAAAUCUAUUAAAACAUAAAAAAAAAAUAAAAAAUAAGAGAGCAUAUCAAAUAUAUGACAAAAUUAUAUUUCACCAAUAUAUUAUUUUUGUAUAAAUAAAAGUUAAAUUAAUUAAUAUAUUAAUUUAAUUAUUUUCCUUUAUGAAAAACAUGAGACACUUUAAAUUAUAUAUGUUUAUAAAUAUAUAUGCACCAUCAUUUUCGUCUAAGAUUCCAAAAAUACUCAUUACUCUAAAAAAUUAUAACAAAUUGAAGUAAAAUUAUUUUUCAACUGAAGUUUCUAAAAGUUUUUUCUCUAAAGAUGUACCAUAUUUGAAAAAUAAAAAAGUAACUAUCCACUGACAGUUUUUUUUUUUUCUAAUUUUAAUCCACUACUCUAACCCAUAAUUCAAAAAUUAACUAACUCCUAAACAUAACGAACAAACUUUGACUCAAUUAAAAUUAAAAUAAAAUAUUCCUAAAGCAUUUUCCUAACACUGUAUUUUAGGAACUAGGAACUGUAAAAGUCCAUGAAAGGUUAAUGGCUUCAGUAAAAUAUCUCUUAAUCAUGAACUGUGAAUUCUAACAUAACUCUUCUUGAGAGAUUCAUCGUUGAUCUCAUUAGCACCUUCAUGCUCCUUUUCUUCUUCGUCUUCAUAGUCAAGAAGGUCACCCUCGUACACCUCGUUCCAAUAAUGUACUAAAUUGUUUCCUGGUUUGUCCAUGGUUACCCAUGAUACAAUUAUAGCCCUAGUAUUGUAGCUAGAAGGGGCAACAAAUACAUUACUUUGAAGGAGCAUGUUCUUAACCAUAUCGACAUUUCUAAUGAAAGAAUUUGUUUUGUCUCCAUGGUAAACUACAACCACAUUGAAAAGGAUCUAACAUUAAUGUUGCAGCCAUUACUGCAAAAUAAAAGAAACUCUUUGCACCCAAAAUAUGAUGAGGAUGAGUUAGCUUCUUGUGCCAAAUUUCUGUCAUGAAUGAAAAAAUAGUUUACUCCUCUCCAAUGGUUUUAGAGCAAAACUUUUACCUUUCAUUUUCCCCUCGAACAUAACUUGACCAGCUACAACAAUUUUUGUCUUCAAAAAUAAGAUUAAAUCUUCUUUCAAUAAGUUGACAUUUAACAAAUUUUGAUCAAUUUCGAAAAGAACAUCGAGAAUAAACUUUGUGCCUGCACAGCUUGUAAUUGCAGGCACAAAGUUUUUUAGAACUAAUCAACCUAAACGUAAUUGAAGCUGACAUUUUUACCUUAAUUUUAAUCCAUUACUUUAAUCCGUAAUUUAAAAAUUAACUAACUCCUAAAAAUAAGGAACAAACUUUGACUCAAUUAAAAUUAAAAUAAAGUAUUCCUAAAACAUUUUCCUAACAAUGUUUCAAAAUAUAAAUGAUUUUCAUAAUUCAACAGUGAAAAAAAUUUAUAUCUCAAAAAACUGAAAAAUUAUCCAUUGACUUCAUUUAAAUAUAGCAAUAUAUGUAGUUAAAUUACAAUACUUAAUAUUUAAAUAAUAAUUUUAUGAUUUAUUAUCAUAAAAUAAAUUUGAACACCUAAACAUAUAUAUUUUCACUAGUAUUAAUAUAAUGAAAAUGAUUUGUACGAUUAUUUUAGUUUUUAAUUAUUUAUUUGGUCUACACAAGAACAAAGAAAAGAAUGCUAAGAAAAUAAAAUUACCAUAUUGUGGCGGCUGAUCCGGCCAUGGAGGAGGCCGAACACUGGCCGCUUUAAUUAAAUUUUUGUAGUGAGUUUCUGCAGCUUUGUACCUUUGGUACCCAUAUCAUUUUGCUCCAGAAGCCGCCGUGUCGAAUCUAGUUGAACCAAGACCAGUUCUUUAUGUGUCGCCACCACCCUAUGGUAUGCCUCGAAAUCUUCCAUGGUUGACGAAGAGCAAAAAACGAAGUGAAGACUGACGACCGAAACGUUGAAUAAAGUUGUGAGAGAAAAUAUAUUUCAUGUAUACUGUUUUAUACACGAUAACUAGUAAAAAAAGGGUCUACUGCCUCAGUCAACCUCAUCUAAGAUUUCAAAAAUACUCAUUACUCUAAAAAAAUUAGGUUUAAUCUCACCAGAAGUCCCUAUUUUUGUCCGAAAUCUUAAAUAGGUCUCUUUUCUUUUUGGCGUAUCAAUUGAGUCCCUUUUAUUGUAAAUUUGAUUCAAUUGGAGGUUUGCCGUCAAAUUCACCAAACGGCCGUUAACGUUGCAUAGUCAGAGUGCACAUUAAUCCCAUGUAGCAUUACAAACAAAUUUUGUAUUAAAAAAUUUGAAUGCAGAUAUGUAUAAUCAGAAAAGCAAAGUAGGAAUAAUUAAAUCACCCUUUUUUGCUCCUGGAAUGCCAUCUUUCGUCUUCUCAGAUGACUAAAUCACACUUCCAUGGCAACACCCAAUCACGAGUUUUCCCAACAUUUUCACCACUGCAAAAAUUCCUAAAUCAAAAACCAGGGAAACCAUAAUCAAGAAACUAAUGAUUUUCAUCUGAAGAUGGCUCUUGAGAUGAUACAAAGUAAGCCCUAAAAUCCCCAUGAGUUUCAUUACCGUUUUGGGUGUUGCCUCUGCAAAAAAAAAAAAACAAAAAAAAAAACUAGCACUUCUUCACUCCCCCGUUAAUGAGCAUGUCUUGUUUUCUGUAGCUGGUUUUGGUUUCGGGAUUCUUGGCUUGAUUUCGAGAAAAAGGUCCAAUAUUUUGCUUUUGGAGAGUCAGAUUUUGUGAAUAUUUUCAGCCAAGAAGUUGCUUAUAUUCCUCACCGGUGAGCUUCUUAAAGGGUUUUGGUUUUGUUUUGGGUGUUGUUUUCACUUGAAAAUCUAGAGUGAUAGCUGGGGUUUCAGAAGAUGUGUUGGAAGACUGGGUAAACAUGGGUUUGUGUGAUUUUGGUGUUUGCGUUUUAUAAAGAGCACUUGAAAAUGCUUGUGAAGUAGAAUUGGAUGUGUAGUGGGUUCAUUGGUUUUGAUAUGUUUUUAUUGUUUGUGAGAAGUGAGAAGCAAUGGAAGGGAAUUUGUCUCAGGGAGGUAUGGUUCAAGGUGGGAGUUCCUUUGGUGGUUUUGAUCUGCCUAGAUCAAUGAGGUUUCAUCGGCAAGGGCAUCAUCCUCAUUCCAUGAAUCAACAUCAAACUCAUCCUUCGUCGGUGGUGAUCCUGGUUUGUGUCGGCGACGUCGUAGGAAGAGACAAGAUUCCUCUCUCACGCGUGAAAAGGAGGACGAAGUUUGGGCUGCUCCGUUUGGCGUGAGUGGCGUCGUCGGCGACACUCUUUGCCGACGAAGGAAGGCGCAACGGAGGGUAGGGACGACCGACGUUGGAGGUUGAAGGAAGAGGUGUUUCUCUCUUUAGGAUUUUAGGGUUCUGAUGAAGAAGAAAAGGGGUUUGCCCUUUUUGCCAUCUGAUUUAACCUUUACUCAAUCUAUUUUUUAAUACAAAAAUUAAUUCAAAAUGCCACGUCAGAUUAAUGAAUACUGUGACCAUAUCGGUAGACCUAAUUUAAACGGCCGUUUAUUGAAUUUAACGGCAAAUCCCUAAUUACUUCAAUUUUAUAAAAAAAAAAUCAAUUGAUACGUUAAAAAGAAAAUAAAUCUAUUUAAGAUUUCGAACAAAAACAGAAACUUCUGGUGAGAUUAAAUCAAAAAAUUAUAACAAAUUGAAGUAAAAUUAUUUUUCAACUAAAGUCUCUAAGAGUUUUUUUUUUCUCUAAACAUGUUUCAAAAUAUAAAUGAUUUUCAUAAUUCAAUACUGAAAAAAAUUUAUAUCUCAAAAAACUGAAAAAUUAUCCAUUGACUUCAUUUAAAAAUAUACUUAAAUAUAUAGCAAUACAUGUAGUUAAAUUACAAUACUUAAUAUUUAAAUAAUAAUUUUAUGAUUUAUUAUUAUCAUAAAAUAAAUUUGAACACCUAAACAUAUAUUUUCAUUAAUCUUUAAGAUAUUAUGAUUUUUGAAUCUUUAAGAUAUUAUGAUUUUUGAAUUAUUUGGUUCUUUGAAAUUGUAGAUUAAUUUUUAUUUCUAUCUCUUGAUUUUUUUUUUUUAAUUUCUUAAUUCAUUUUUCAAUUUAUUUUACAUUUUUAAACUUAUAACCCACAAUUUUAAUCUGUAUAGAAAAAUAUUAAACAAUUUAAUGAUAUCUUUGAUAAUCAGCUCAUGUUACAAAAUUUAGAAAACCUACAAUAGUGAAUUAUUCGGUAUCACAAUGAAUAAAUUAUGUUUUUAUUGAGUUAAAAUUGGCAUUUUUAGCUUUUUUUUAGCAUGAUUGAUUUGGAUAGAAAUUGAAAUUUUAAAUGUUUGACAAUUUAUAUUAGUUCUGUAUUAAUCUAAACAAUUUUAAAUGAUAACUCUCCUCGCCCAAACUAUAAGCCAAAUUUAGAUCAAUAAAAAAAUUUCGAGAUAGCAAGUUAGUAUAUUAGUUAAAGCUUAAAUGAUGCAAGUUCUCGGUACGUAAUGCAAUACUACAGCUUCUACAUUUUAACUUACAAUAUUUAAUAUAAUUUGAAUGUUGAGUUUCAAUAAAUUAAUUGAACUAUCAAGAGAAUGUGUUUUUUUUUUUCUUUUUUUUUUUAGGUGUUGUCGUGUUGUGUAUUAAUAGACAUCACUUUCAAAAAUUAAUAAUAAAUAGUGUUUUUAAAAAAAAGUUGUUUACUGAUAUCACAAUAAAAAAUACUCAAAAAAAAGUUAUUUAUUGGUUUUGUGUUUUUAUUUAUAAUGUUUAAUUAAAUAAGUGUUGUUUAUUGUUGUCUAUAAUUUUAUAAUAGUGUAUAUAUAAUGUUAUAAUCGUGAGUAAUAUUUUGAAUGCAAUUCUUGACAUAAAUUUAGUUUAAAUCUAAUGUCAAAAUGAUUCUAUAUAUUAAGAAUAAUUAUGAAUUAAUAGACUUUAAGUAUCUAAAUAAUGUAAAUUAAGUUGUUAAGUGGUGAUAAACUAAUAAUGGAGAAUUCACUGUACAUCUAAAACUAAUAUAUGUACAAAGAUAGAUAUUUUAAACUUGGUAUAACAUGCAAAACCCAUUUUUAGAUUUAGAGUACUUAAAAUGAGUAUUUCAUAUUAUAUAUCCUUUUAUUAUAUAAAUUAUAUUUUGAUCUAUAAUUUGUGAAUGAUUGAGUGUUUGAAUGAUUUAUAAUCAACUUCGUAUGACUUUAUAUAUCAUAGAGGUAAAAACUUAUUAGUAAUAAUAUAUUUAGGUGACAUGCAUAAUUCAUUAUUACAAAUUUGUUACAUUUAUUUUUUAGUUGACUGUCAAGAUGUUUGUUACUCUCACUAAGAUAAUAAAAAUGACAACACCUUGAAUCUAAAUAAAAAUAAAUAAAAAUAAAAUAAUAUUAGAACUUAUCUCUGUUUUUUGUAAAAUAUAAUACAAAUUAUUAGUAAAUCUAUGCAUGGAAACGUUUUUAGACUUUAAAGCAGUGCUUCAAUAUCUACUUUAAUUUAAUAUAUUAAAGAUAGAUUUAAGAGUAAAAUUAGAUAAUAUAAGCAUUUACAGUUUAUAGGGAUGUUUGUAUGUUUUAACUAAGAUGACUAACUAACUUUUAUCUUCUUUUUUUUUUUUUUUUUUUUUCUAGUGAUACGUGAUUUUGACUAUGAGAAUUACUAGAGUUGUAAUAGUAAAAUAAUAUUAUUUACACAUAUUUUAGACUUUUCUUUUAUUUUUUAUUUUAAAAAGAAAGACUUAAAUUUUUCAAGACUUAUUAUUUUUAUAAAUACAAAUUUGUAAUAUUCAAUUUAGAUCAUAACUUUUCCUUUUUUAAAUUGAACUAUUUAUGUGAAACCUUUAUAAAAGAGAAACUCUCCCCUAUUCUUACAUUUUCCCUUGUCCUUUAUUUUUGUUUCCUUCUUUCAAUCUUCAUUUUCUUUUCUUUUCUUUUCUUUUUGGUUAGGAGUGUUCUAAGAUAGUUAUGGAAGAUUCUUUAAACUAAGCCAUCAAUGAAAAUCAAGAAAAGAGUAAGUUUUCUUCUUCUUGGCUUGAAGAUAUUCAAUCUAUUUUCUUUGUUUUCUAAUUUUUUUUUUGUUUUCUUAGUUUUUUUCUAAGUUGCCUGUGAGUUUGAGUUUUCUUUACUCCCAUGAACUUUCUACAUGUUGGUUAGUUUAACUCUAUCCAAAUAUUUGACCUAACUUCCUUUAUGUGCGUAGAUCGAGUUUUGUGGGUUGAAAUUAUGAGAUAGCAUGGGUGAGCUUCAAGAACACCAAUUAAGGUGAGAGAAGCUAAUUCUUCUUGGUUUUAAGUAAAUCGGUGCUUGCAUGUUAUGUUUUGAUCCAUGAGUUAGUUUGAAUUGUUGUAGUGUUUGAUUUUGGGAUUUGGAUGUUAAGAAUAAGGUGAAACUCUGCUAUUUUUGCUCAAGCGAGAUAAAAUCUUGCUUUGGCAACAAUAUUCCAAACGUUGACUUUACUUUUGGUCGAGUUGUCGUCCAUGCGAAAAUAAUUUGUCGUCCCAACAAUAGACUUCUUGCUUAGGCUAGAAAGUCAUUACACUUAUUUUGGUUUCUAAUGAGUUGUCGCUUAGGCAACAAAUCUGUCACUCAAGCGACAACACAUUCUUGCACAUUAUAAUAGCUCAUGUUAGUCUCUGUUAAAGUGUCUUUCAAGCGACAAGAUCUCCCCAAGUGAGACUUCCAUUGAUUUUGUUUUAGUUUAAAUGUGAUGAUGGGUUAUUAAUUGAUGAUAACAUGUAUUUGGUGGUUUAUUUAUGAAUAUAAACAUGUGUAUCAUAUGAAAUGGAAAGUAUGCUAGUGUCGUCACCACACAUAUAAGUGGUUGAUAAUACAUGAAAUUAUUUGAUUAGAGCGAAUGAAUGUGAGUUGAUAAGUAGUUGAUAAUACAUGAGAAUGCAAAGAAAGAAUGUGAGUACGAGAACUUUUUUAAAAUUUUGUUAAGAUUUUUGUAAUUUAAAUGGGAAGAUUAUAUUAUGAUAUCAAUGUAUGGAAUGGAAAGAUUGGUGAAAAUAAUUGUGAAUUGCAUUCUAAGGAAGUGUGAUGACUUUAAUUAAGAGAGUGAAAAUGGAUCAAUCAAAUGGAAUGACAUAAGUUUGAAAUUAUAUGAUUGUUUGGGUUUUUCCCUUAUAAAAGGAAGAGGUACAAUUCCUUAUUAAUUUAGUGUUAUACAUUAACUAAAGAUACAUGUAGGUCAAAAGUCAUCCUAUACUCGGCAUACAAACUCAUAUAGUUAUAGUCUAGGUGGUGGUGAGAGUUGAAUGAAGUUUUUAUGGUGGGAUUAGGUGUGGGACCCCUCAUUUGACGAUGUCAUAAGUUAACUUACUUUGUCUAGAGGAAUUUUAUCAAUUUAUUAGGCUAAGUGGAGCUAGAGUCUUUGCCACAAUCCACUAUGAGAUUUUAUCAUAGAGGCUUCUUGUGUCCAAGUCAAUACAUAAAUUCAGAUAUCGAAUCUAAUAUUAUGUUCUGCUUAUAUGUUUAGGAAUGUUUUAGUGGUGGGAUCAUUAACUGUUAUGUUUUAGUUGUAUUGAGAUAUUGAGUUAUUAAUUGUUUAUGCAUGUUUAAAGUUAUAAUUAGCUUACACCCUCUUGUUGAUUUGAUGUUUUUCUUUUUGAGAUCAUCAUUCACUUAUGUGUGAAGAGGAUGAUACAAGAGUGGAUAUAAAGCAAAUAGUUUGAGUCAUAAGAUAACAUUUUUUUCUUUUGUAUUUGUGAUAGGGAAAAAAAUCUUUAGUACAAGUAGACCCCUUGAACAUAUUAUUAUGAUUGUUUCUAUUCGGAUGGCUGUACUAAUAUUUUAUAUCUUGCAUUGUUAAUUGUUUUAGAUUAUCAAACAUGUAAUGACGUAUUUUAGUAGUGAUGUACUACCAAAUUGAAAUGUUACAAUUUACUAAUUUUUUUAAUUGAUCCAUUAAUUUAUUUUGAUAUUUCUAUUUUCAAAUACUAAAAAUUGAUAUUAAUAAAAAUGGAUAAUUACAAGCAGAAGAAAAAUUAUAUUUAAUUAAAUAUUUGUGACUUUUCAAUAAUAUUAAACAUUAUCGAAAAGGAUGAAAAAUUUGGUAAAUCAUUUUAAUAUUUAAAAUAUUCAAUUUAUCACAAUUCAAACAAAUUAUUAAAUUAAGCCUAUAUUUUCUAAAAUGUUGAACAAUUACCAAUUAAUUUAAUUGUAACAUUGUAUAAGUCACUUUUUUUAUUUUAUUGUUCCGAAUAAGAUUAUGUUAGACAUUACUAUCAACUUUGACAUCUCACUGACAUAUCAAAGUCCAUCAUUCAUUUGCCAUCACAUAAAAAAUUAUUUUAAAAAAAUAAAACAAAAGAAAACAAAGCAUGAUGGACCACACCAAACCCAUUACGAAACAUUGAUAAACUAUACCUAUUAUGAAAAAAAUCUAAAGAAAUACAUAGAGGUAAAACAUUAAAACGCUUAUAUAUGAACAAAAGCUAAAUUAGCUAACUAAUCAACACAAUGAUUUCAUUCAUGAAAAACAUGAGAAAAUUUGAAUUGCAUAUGUAUACAAAAAUACAAGAUGCAUCUCUCUCUAAAACUCUGAGAAUCUACUUGUUCAUAAAAAAACAUGAGAGACUAAAGAAGAAUCACUAUCCAACAAAUGCCUUUGAAAGCCAUCCCUCUAAGUAUGCUCCAAAACAUAAAUAACCCUCAUAGACUCGGUAUAAAUAAAAUUUUGUACUCUUGAAAAACCUGAAAAUCUAUCCACAUAUUCAGUUUGACUUUCUCUAAAAAUACCAACACUUGAAGUCAAAUCAGGACAAUUAAGCUAAUUAAUAGAUGGAACUUGUUAUAUUAGGCCCACAAAUGAAACCACUUCACCCUUCCUAGUUUGAAUAUGAAAAACUUCUAUCACAAAAAAUCAGAAACAAUAUUUCUCAUAUGAUUUAUGUCCACUCAUACAUAAUAACCCUUUAAUUUGAAAAAUAGCAGAAGAGAAUGGAGUUGGAUCCUAAAAUAUACUACUAUUUCUCAUCUCCAAAUCCUUCAAAUUAUUGCACUAAUGACAAUUUAAAACAAAUGACUACAAAAAGACUUCAUAAAUUGAACAUGAAAUCCAAAGACUUUGUCGAUACUAUAUAUCUUAUUUAUCGAUAAUUUGUUUUUUUCUAUAAAAUAUGUCAACAGUUAACAUUUUAAAAUCCUUAAUUUAUUUAAAUUUUAUCGAUAAAAAUAAUUUUAAUUAUAAAAAAAAUUUAUUGUAAAUUUUUGUUUUUAUAGUAUAAUAUGUUCAUACCAAUAGUAAUUUAUUACUCUUUUAAAUUUUUUUGCUAAUUAACUUAUUAAUUCAUUUAAAAUUUAUUGAUAAAAAAAUUACUUAUAAGAAAAUAUUUAUUUCAAAUUUUAUUUCUAGGUUUUUCUCAUUAAUUAUUAAUAAUUUAUUACGCUUUUUAAUUUUGUGAUGACUUAUUAUUAAUUCAUUUGAAUUUUAUUAAUAAAAAUAAUUUUAAUUAUAAGAAAAUAUUUAUUUCUUAUUUUAUUUCUACUAUAGUAUAAUUUUUUUUUCUUAUUAAUUAUUGAUAAUUUAUUAUGAUUUUAAAUUUUGUGCUGAUUAAUUAAUUCAUUUAAAUUUUAUUGAUAAAAAUAAUUUUAAUUAUGAGAAAAAAUUUAUUUUAGAUAUUUUUUUAUUAUAAUAUGAAAAAUUUCCUCAUUAAUUAUUGAUAAUUUAGUUUGCUUUUAAUUUUUGUGUUAAUUAAUUAAUUCAUUUAUUUAAAUAUUAUUGAGAAAAAUAAUUUUAAUUAUAGAAAAACAUUUAUCUCAAGUUUUAUUUCUAUUAUAAUAUAAUUUUUUUUCACCAUUAAUUAUUGAUAUUUUGUUGUUCUUUCAAUUUUUGUGUUUAUUCAUUUAUUCAUUUAAAUUUUAUUAAUAAAAAUAAUUUUAAUAAAGAUUAUAAAAAAACUUAUUUAUAGAAGAGAUAAAAAAUUUAUUUAUAAAUAUUAUACUUUGUAGUUAAUUCAUUGUAACUUUCUUUAUUUUGUUAUCAUAGUUAAUUCAUUGUAACUUUCUUUCUUUUUUGUUAUCUAUGUAUGAUUUUUCUUUCCUAAUAGUUAAUAAGAUGAAAGAUGAUUAUAACUAAUCAUUAAAAUAAAUUUUUCUUUUCAGUUUUAUUAUUAAGUAAAUUCUUUUAAUUCAAAUCUCAUUAUAAAAAAGUUAUAUAAUUUUUUAUUAUUUUAGUAAUUACUUUUUUAAAUUUAAAUAAUUAUUCAUAAUAAAAAAAAAUAUUCCCAAUUAUGCAAUUCAAACUCAGUUUGAUCAUGCUCAGGUUGUUAAAGAAAAGACAUUUUUGAAUCAUUCUGAACAAAAACUGUGUAGAAGAGAAAAACAGUGUGGUUCUGAUAUUGCUUCAACUCAUGUUAUUUUGGUUGCACCCUCUGAUGGAAACUAGAGAAUGGAGCAAGCAUUGGGGUAUGAAUCAUAAUCCAGUAUACAUAUAAAUGACUAGGUGGAGGAAAAUUUGAAUAACAAUAAGGUAUUGGAAAGAUUUUCUCUAUAGUGAUUUGAUCAUUGGCAGGGUUUUCAUCUGUCACACUCAUAAGAGUUGCAUAGUUCAACUUCUUUCUUAAUUUAUUAGUCAAGCAAACCGAAUCAAUCGCAUCUCCAGUCACCACCACUUCAUCUCUGUCUUCACCCUCUAAUGCCACUGAAUGCACACCUAUAUGCAUGCAUGCAUAUUAUUUACAGUUCAAUCAAAUCACAAACACUAAAUCACUAAUAAUAAAGCGAUUAUGCAAUUGAAAAGUGGCAUGCAUGCACCUUCAGAGCCUGCAGCAAUUUUCAUUGCCUUGCUUCUGCAUUUCUCAUUCUCCAUGCGCACUUGGAUAACUAUUUUCUGCAUAAUUCAAUCAGUAAAGUGAAAAGCUUAAUAUAUAUAUAUAUAUAUAUAUAUAUAUAUAUAUAUAUAUAUAUAUAUAUAUAUAUAUAUAUAUUAAACCUAAUAGAAGACCGUGGAAUGUAAUUAAUAACUAAUCAAUACAAGUAAUCUCACCUUCAUCUUUGAUGACUGAAAACAGAGCACAGCUUCAGCUUUCACUUCGGGAAGAAGAAGCUUAUGGGUCAGAGUAUCGAUCAGUCUAUAUAUAUAUAUAUAUAUAUAUAUAUAUAUAUAUAUAUAUAAGAGAAAUAAAAAAUAAAAUAUUGUUGUUGACUCAAACAGUAUUUUGUCUGUAUUGUUGUUGUUGACUCAGAGUAAACGUAUUUUUUUUUCCUCCAUUUUAGACUCGGGUUGUUAUGGAAAUUAGGUGACCUUUAACGUUAAAAUAUUGUGUUUGGUUGGAAAGUGAGAUGGGAAAAGUGUAAAACCGAAGAAAUAUGACUCUCUGGAAAGACUUGGUCCGUAAUUGAAAUCUUAAUUCAUCAAAUUCUAUUUUGUUUAUUAAUGUUGCGCUGGUAGUUAAAUGAAAAAUUCUUAGAUAUAAAAAAGUUGUGUAGAAGAUAAUGAUGUUUGUUAUAAGUUAUAUUAAGGCCAAGUUUGAUUCAACUUUUCUUAGCUAUGCUUCCAAAUUAGGGGUGUAAAAAAACAGAAAAAAAAAAUCCAAAUUCAAUCUAUUAUUACACGGAUAUAAAUAGUUUUAAGUUUAUUUUGAUAAAUUUGUUUUAAAUCUGAAUAAAUGGAUUUUAAAUCCAAUCCAAUAUAUUGGAUAUUAGAUUUAGAUUAAUAUGAAAGGGAUUUUGUUUUUGGUCAGAAAGAUCCAAAAAUCAAUAGUUAAAAAGACAUUAAUUGUUUAUAACUGAGCCAUUUUGUUAUUCAAUUCGUUAACGUAAGCUUUUUUUUAUCAAUGUGUUAAUGGGCCAAAUUUUAUUAAAGUGCAAUUUGUUUCUAACAACAUAAAGAUAUAUUGAUUUAAGGAGGAUGAGUAGAGGAUGAAGGAGAAGAAAAAAAGAAAAAGGAAAGGAAGAAAAAGAUUCAUUGAUGAAUAUUUACUAAUGAUAUGAAUUUAUUAGUGAUUAUGGACGGUAUUUAUUAACUAAUGUUUAUUAUGAAAUUUUAAUCUUGAACAUUUAUUAAUGGAUUGUUCAAUUUACAGAUAAAAUUUAUCAAUGGCCAUUCUACUACAAAUUUUUUACUAUCCUUAAUCUAUCCAAAAUUCAAAAUACCAACAAAAUUUUAUUAUUAAUAAUGAUGAAUUAUGUAGGUCGUUAAUAUGGGACUUUUUUUAUAAUGAUGCAUGAUACGUCUUAAUUUAGAUAAUACUUUUUCAGUUGGCAACUAAAUUUCUAGAAAACAUAUUUUAAAAAGUUGUUACAGACAUACCAAAUUGUGAAAAUAGUAAUCGGUAAGAUGGAAUAUCAUUUUUUAAUAUAUUUGUAAAAUACUAAAUAAUUACACAAUUAAUAACUAUUCUAAACUAAAUUAAUAAUUAAUACAGACUAAAGAAUAAUUUUAUAAUUUGAAUUUAUGUUCAAGAAAGUGAAGAAUUGAUGCAUAAAUGAUAAAGAUAAUCUUUGAAAUUUAAAAAAACUUAAAAAAUGAAAAUGGUUAAAAAUAAUAUGGAUUGAUAUUGUUAGUUUUAGUUUUCACCAACUUCCCAAAUAAUAACAUUUAUUUUAAUAUCUUGAUAAUUUAUAAUAGAUAAACAAUUUAUUUUAUUUUUUAAAUUAAAUUAUUGAUGCAUAUUGUUAUAUUCUUAAAAUAAAGUUAUCAAAUAUUAUUUGAUAGAGGGUAUAAAAAUACAAAUUUUCGUGUUUAUUUGUCAUGAUACAAAUUUAUUAUCUAUGUAAAAACCCAUAUAAGGUAGCUUUUAAUGGCAUCUUUCUUAUUGAUAGAUUAUUUCAAUUUAAUCAAUGAUUUAAAUUUGAACCUUAAGUAUUUUGUUAUGUCACAUACAAACUUAAUAUAAUAAUUUGGGAACAAAUUAAAAGUAAAAAUAAAUAUUUUAUUAAAAUUGAAAGCAUCAACUCAUUUGAACUAUUUUUUUAAAAUUAAAACAUCAAUUAUUUUAUAAAGAAAAACAUACAUCCAAUUUGCAUGGAAAAAAGAUGUCCCAUCUUGAUUUGGAAAGGUGAAGGAAUUGUUGAAAUCAAUUGGAUAUUAACUUCUCAUUAUUUCAGUCUUUUUUUUUCUUAAAAAAUGUUUGAUAAUGUAUAAAUCAGAACUUGUAAAAAUAACUAAAAUUUUUUUGAUUUCAACACUAUAUAAUACAUUAACCAUGCUACAUAAGAAUCAAAUAUACUGUUUCACAAUUAAUAAUAAAAUGCUUGAAACUUUUGUUCGAUAUUUUCUCCUGUUCCUGCCAUUUUUUUAAAAUGCAUAUUAACGUUUUCCAUCUCAACGCGUAAAACUUAAUUUAUUUAAUUUGAAAAAAAGGGUCACAUUUGUAAAAAAAAAAAACAUUAUGAAACAAAACAUUAUAUAUUGAAUAAGAGUAGGAUGACAUAUAGUGAUAUUCAUUUGACACACCUGAGUAAAUUGUUAUAAAAGAGUAAAUUUUUAUAAUUUUUCGGAAAAAGAAAAAAAAUAUUGAAUGAAUGUAAAAAAAAUUAUGUGUAAGAAAAUAUAAUUUCUCUUAUAGAUUUUUCUUACAAACUUUUUUUCGCAAACAUGUUGCUCCAAUAUACAAGUGGCUCAACAUGCACACACUCUUAUUUUGGAUGCAACUGAUUCUUCAGCAUGUUAUUGCGAGGUCUACGAACAACUGCAUGGUAACCAUCAUUUCACGUACCUUUUACUCAAAAAAAGGCCAAUCGUCGCAUUUGAACUGAAUACCUAUUACUACGCAAGAAAAGAAAACGACAUAACAUGUCAAUUUUGAGUUUGAAACACGGAUCUACCUUAAGACAAGUUCCAACAUUAAAAGACAUUGUUAUAAAAAUAGUAAACAGCACUGGUUUUAAAUUCCCCGAGAUUGUAUUGUCCACCAAGCCUGCUCAUUUCAUCACUCUGAAAGACUGAACUGAAGAGAGAUAUUGUGCUCGCAAUGGCCAAAUAUUCCAAAGCAAUGCUCGUGUUAGGUCUUGGGGUGUUGGUGGUUAGCAUGUGGUGCAUGAAGGGCACUGAGGGUAGCCUUGAAGAUGAAGCUGCUUCCAUCAUUCACACAGUCAAACGUGACGACUCUUCUCAUCAAGGGUGUGGUGGAUCCAGCCACACCGAGGGAGGAGUGGAAGAGUGCUCGGGCAAAGAUGACAAACUGGGAUUGUAUCAUGAUGUUGAUGACACUUUCAAGGCUGCCGCAAAAAGAGCCACUUCUAAUGGCGAAAAUGACGACUCUCCUAAUCUUGGAAACAACAAUGUCAAUGUCUUGGGACAUUGAUACGAUUAUACCCUGUUUGGUUUCAUGUUUCAGUGCGACUUUUCACUUUCGUAUUAAUUUUUUCUAGAUAAAAUUGCAAAAUUUCUUGUAGAUUUUUACGAAACAGUUUAUAAAGCAUAGUUUUUAUGUAUUGAGAUUACAUAUGGAAUUCAAUGUUUACUAUUGUUAUUCAAGUGAUAACACAGUACUGUAGCUAAAUCAAUGAACAUAAAGAAUCACAAUGCCUGUAGGAUAAUAAAUUUGAAAAACUUUUAUAGAAUAAACUUUGCAAGAAAUGUAUUUAGUCAUUACAAGGGUUUAGUUAUGCAUGAUACCUUUUACUCUUAAUCUCACAAUUAGAAAUAUAUAAUGGCUAGAAUAGUUGAGUUGGAAAAGUAUGGUGAAGAAAAUAUAAAGCCUUUUAUUCUUUUUUUUUUUUAUCAUGUCUUAGAAAUUAAGAACACCAAAACAAUCUUCUGAUAAGAAGAGUGGAAUAGAGGAAAAGUAAAUAGAGACCUAACAACGAAAAAAUUGAAAUUGAAGAUAACAAACUAAGAACGAAAUUAAAGAAACAUAGAGCAAACAGAGUGAAGUGUAAUCAAUUUUAUUUUGGCAAAAUUGUAAAUCCUCAAGUAUAAUUUUUCUAAACAAAGUUACAAAAGUUCUUGUACUAUUUUUACGAACCAAAUGAGCGCAUUUAAAAAAUAUUUCAAAACAUAGAUAUCACGCAAUGGUUACAGGUAUACUAAUGGUAAAAUGAUAUACAUUUAUAUUUAUUUUACAUAUAUUACAAAAUAAAAUAAUCAUUUUGUAUUUUUAAGAAGAAAAAAAAUAAGUAAAAAAUAAUAUAAAAAUUUAUAAUUUUAUCAUCGUUUUAUAUUUAUAUUUUAGGUUUAAACCUCUUUUUGGUUCCUAAGAUAUGAGUGAUGUUCAGUUUAGUCCCCGUUUUUUAAAAUGUAAAUCUUUAGUCUCUAAGUUAUAAAAAAUGUAUCAAAUGAGUCCUUUUUUGACUUGAAAUACUCUUUUUGGUUGUUUCUUAACAACUGCUACAUCUUUAGAUUGCUCUGAUUUGUUUCUUAAUAAUAACAACAGUUUAAAUUGCUCUUUGUACUUUGACCAUGAACAUAAAAAAAAGGACUCGUUUGAUACAUUUUUUAUAACUUAGGAAUAAAAGGUUUACAUUUUUAAAAGCGCGGACUAAACUGAACGUCCGCUCAUAACUUAGGGACCAAAAAAAGGUUUAAACCUAGAUUCUAUAUCAAAUAAAUAUAAAAGUAUCUCAUGUUAUCACUGCUUUUUUAUUCAUAAAUUUUCAUGUUCUUCUACAUAGAUACUGAAAUCGAAAUUUAGGUUACAAAAUGAAACUAAUUGAAAUUUAGGUUACCAAAUGAAACUAGCUUCACUCACAUUACAAAACAUCUUAUUUUACAUAAAGUUUUCAACCCUAAUUAUAUCAUUAUUCAAUAUAUAUAUAUAUAUAUAUAUAUAUAUAUAUAUAUAUAUAUAUAUAUAUAUAUAUAUAUCUUGCUCUUGUCUUUAGGUUUUUAUUCUUGAUCUUGGUUUUGUCGUUCUUCAUANNNNNNNNNNNNNNNNNNNNNNNNNNNNNNNNNNNNNNNNNNNNNNNNNNNNNNNNNNNNNNNNNNNNNNNNNNNNNNNNNNNNNNNNNNNNNNNNNNNNNNNNNNNNNNNNNNNNNNNNNNNNNNNNNNNNNNNNNNNNNNNNNNNNNNNNNNNNNNNNNNNNNNNNNNNNNNNNNNNNNNNNNNNNNNNNNNNNNNNNNNNNNNNNNNNNNNNNNNNNNNNNNNNNNNNNNNNNNNNNNNNNNNNNNNNNNNNNNNNNNNNNNNNNNNNNNNNNNNNNNNNNNNNNNNNNNNNNNNNNNNNNNNNNNNNNNNNNNNNNNNNNNNNNNNNNNNNNNNNNNNNNNNNNNNNNNNNNNNNNNNNNNNNNNNNNNNNNNNNNNNNNNNNNNNNNNNNAUAUAUAUAUAUAUAUAUAUAUAUAUAUAUAUAUAUAUAUAUAUAUAUAUAUAUAUAUAUCAUGCUCCAGCCUUUAGGCUUUUAUUCUUGAUCUUGGUUUUGUCGUUCUUCAUACAAUCACUACAUGAGAGGUAAUUAAUAGCUCAGAGGAUGGAGCAGUUAUUAGGGUAUGGAUCAUAAACUAUGAAAGCAGGUUGAAUGAUAGAGGUGCUACAUUUUGCACAAAACGGAGGAUAAAUUUUCUCUGGUACGGUUUCGUCUUCUUCUUCUUGGCCAUCCUCUUCAACUCCUCCUUUUAUAUUUUCCACAUGUAUCAGGGUAGCAUGGCGGAACUUCUUUUUCAUCUGUUUCGUUAAGCAAAAAGGAUCCACUCCAUCUCCAGUUAUCACAAUUUCACUGCAUUCUUCAUCUAUUUCUAUUGAUUCCACACCUGCAUGUUUCAUAGUACACAUACAUUUUGGUUAUGAAUCAAGAUUUAUAUAAAAACUAUAGCUAUACCUAGUUUUUAUUCAACAUGGUACAUGCACCUUGACAUUCAGCUGCAAUUACCAUAGCCUUCUUUCUGCAUUUCUCACUCGCCACCUGCACCUUUAUAACUAUUUUCUGCAUCAUAUGAACGUAUAUAUUAAUAUACAUAGAAUUAUUCAAAUAAAUAUCAUAUACCUUGACGUUUAUUGAUUAUUGCAAGUAUAUCACCUUCAUGUUUGAUAAUGAAGCUGAAGGUUUUGCAGUGGCUUUAUGCUCUGUUGGAGAAGCACGAAAAAGCAGAAACUACAAUAAUGUCGAUAUAACAAGAUAAUGUUAUAGUAUAUAUAGAGAAAUUAUGGAUGUGAGUUGGUGGUCCAAAUAUAUUGAACACGUCUCUUUUUUAAUUAAUUUUCAGAACUAUUUUUAUACGUAAUGCCUCUUCACCUUUAGAAAUAUAGAUAGAUACAUGCAUUAUGUAAAAAAAAAAUCAAAAUAAUGAAAAGAAAAACUGGUUUAUUUAUUUACCAUUUAAAACAGUUUUACAUAGUCAUUUAGAUGAAAAUCAUCAAAUAUGAUAAAUUUGUUAAUCUUUACCAAGAUUAUUUUAAAAGUAAUUAUAUUAAUGUUAUUCAUAUUCAAUAACCAGGUAAAGUACAUAAUCAUUAACUUUUAUAAACAAAAGUUGAAAAUUAAUUUAAAAGAGAUAAGUGAGAAGUAGAAUUGCCUUGUAAUUUGGGGCUAGACUUGGUAAUUGAAUUAAUUUAGUUUGUCACAAUCAUAUAUAAAUGCAUUAUUGAUGAGGUCUUCGUCAACAUAUCUUGCUUAAUGAGGUUGGCACUUUCUGUAAUGUUACUAUCAAUCAAUUUGUUAUCACGAGUUUAAGUAGAAUUUUUCUUCUUAUAAUUCUCAAUUCAACUAACAGAUUACCUUAUUUUAGUACAUAUUGAGUUGUUUAAGAUUAGUUAAAAAAAUAUUAUAUUUCUUUUAACUCUAUCAAUCAAUAGAUCACAAAAUAUUUAUUUUAAGUUCGAGAUUGUUAUCAUCAUAAUACGAAAAAAAAUAAUUUUUAAAAUAUUUAAACUUUAAAAUCAUAAUAAUAAAAUAGUAAUUAUAAAUUUUCUUUGUAAGUCAAUGAAUAUAUAUAUGAGUGUGUGCGGGGUGUUACAAAUAUGAUUAAAUUGUUUUCUAAACAUUUAUAUAGAAAAUUAAAUGAUAUAACAAUUGAUGAGAAAAUGGAUCUUAUCACAUAAUGAUACUCAUGGUUUAGAAAUAAAAUACUUUAUCAACUUUGGUUGAUGAGACAAAUUCACUUUAUCAUUUAAGACAAGAAAGACAAUGCCUUUAUUGAUUUUUCUGCAAAAAAAUUAAACAACAAUUUUGUUUAUAUUGUAAGUGUGAGUAGGUGUGGAAGUCUUUGUCUAUUUUUCUUCUAUUUCACACUUGUGUUAUGAUUGGAAAUUGAAAAUAGUAUUUAAGCACGGGGAGAUGGAACGAGUGAUGAGCGAUAGAUAUGUGAAGCAAAUUCUUAGUAGGUCAACGGAGGACUUGUUAGAUUAUAAACAAAAUUAGUGAACCAAAUCAAUCUAAGAGCAAUCAAAUUUUAUCAUACAAUAAACUAUUUUCAAUUAUAAGUAUGUGGAAGCCACCACUUAUCAAGACUUGGGUGGUUCAACUCCAUUGACGCAUUUGGAAUCAAGGUUGGGUGGUUCAGACAAAACAUCGUAUGGAAAAGGUGUCGAGUAUCAAUUAAAGGGACCACCUAAUGCAAUUUUCAAGUACUGUUAAAACAGAUCAUUGGUCCAACCUGGAUUGAUGUACCAUGAGUUGACUAUUUAGUGAGUCAACUCAACCCGUCUCAUUUAUUAAUAAAUAAAUUAUCUCAUUAGCUCACUUAAUUACACAUUUUUUUAUCAAUUAAAAAAAUAACAAAAAUUUUCUAAUUGAAAUCUAAACAAAGGGGGUCUUAAAUUAUUUAUGAUCAAUCAAAUAUAAGAUUUCAUUGAUACAAAGAUAUCACGAAAUCUUCUCUAACAAAAUUUUUAGUAACUUCAUAACAAUUCAAAUUUGUGUUUUACAUACAAAAAUAAUUUCACUUAGGGUUUAGGGUUUAGGUUUUAGGGUUUUAGGGUUUAGGGUUUGCGGUUUGGGGUUUGGGGUUUUGGGUUUAGGGUUUUGGGUUUUGGGUGUUGGGUUUUGGGUUUUGGGUUUUGAGUUUUGGGUUUAGGGUUUAGGGUUUGGGGUUUAGGGUUUUAGGGUUUUAGAGUUUACGGUUUUGGGUUUUGAGUUUAGGGUUUACGGUUUAGGGUUUAGGUUUUAUGUUUUAGGGUUUAGGGUUUAUGUUUUAGGAUUUUAGGAUUUAUGGUUUAGGGUUUUAGGGUUUAGGGUUUAGGGUUUUGGGUUUAGGAUUUUGGGUUUAAGGUUUAGGGUUUUAGGGUUUAGGGUUGUGGGUUUAGGGUUUAUGGUUUAGGGUUUAGGGUUUAGGGUUUAGGGGUUAGGGUUUAGGGUUUAGGGUUUAGGAUUUUGGGUUUAAGGUUUAGGGUUUUAGGGUUUAGGGUUUUGGGUUUUGGAUUUUGGGUUUAGGGUUUAUGGUUUAGGUUUUAGGGUUUAGGGUUUAGGGUUUAAUCUAACAAAAAGUACUUUUUAAAAUAAUUAGGUGGAUUGGUGUCUAACCUGGUUCACCAUGAGUUCAACCCGAAUGAACCAAAUUCUUAGUAUUUCCAAAUUGAUAUGUAUCGAAAUUUUAAAAUAUUUUUCAACUCAACUCGACUCGAACUUGUAAUGAACCGGGUUAGCUCAUGAAUUCUAAUCUAUUUUGACAAGACUAAUUUUCAUAAAUUUACAUUAAGUUAUAUUUAUAUAAUAGCUAAUCUUAUAAUUAAUUUAUGCUAUAUAAUGGAUAUAUAUAUAUAUAUAUAUAUAUAUAUAUAUAUAUAUAUAUAUAUAUAUAUAUAUAUAUAUAUAUAUAUAUAUAUAUAUAUAUAUAUAUUAUACAUAUACAUUUUUAUAAAGUUAACAAAGUAAUUAGAUAUAAUAGUUUAUAUAAAAUGAUAUUUUUUUUUCAUUCAUAUUCUAGUUUCUCGUUGAUUUAUAUCACUUUUAAGGUACUGCUGCUAGCUUGUGAUUGAAGUAAAACCUUUUUGUUUUCUUCGUGAAUAUUCUAUUAUUUUUCUUACUUCAGAAUUUAAUAAUUAUGCAUUUUCAUUGUGGAAACUUUAAGCUGUCAACAAAUUCGAAGUGAUCCUUAUACAAGUGAACCAAAAAUGGUUUACCUUUUUCUCUUUAUUUAGAUUUUAUUUAUUAUGUAUUAUUAGUAAACAAACUUUUACAGUAAUAACUAAUCAUAAAUCACCACGACAACAAGACCAAUAACAGAUAUUUAAUAGUAACAAUAAUGAUAAUCAUAAAUCAAGCAAAAUAUUUCAGAAGGAUUUGAAUUUAUGAUUGAUAAUGAAAACAGAAAAAAAAAAGGUUUUUAUAAGUGAACGAUACCGUUUUGGCAGUAAAAGUAUGCAAAUGGACAAAAUUUUAAAAAAUUGCAAGACGUAGGUAAGUCAUGUGGAAAACAACACUAUAUGGAAAAGUCACGCACCGUACGAGUUUGCUUCUAUGUUACUGAUGCUUUAACACAAUUUUUUACAUUAAUUUGAUAUUAUUUCUUUUUAUUUUUUAUUAUCUGUUUUAAAAUACAAAAAAUUACUUUUUAUAAUUAUUUUAUUGCUAUAGCAUAUAUUAAAUGAAUAUAAAAAUAAAUAUAAACAUGUAUCAUCUUUUUGAUAAUAUUAAUUUUUGGCUUGGAGGAUAUCGAAGAAAGAAAAGUCAUUAAAUAGGAAUUCGGGUGCAGGACUUGAAUGUUGUGUGGGGCUUGUGCAGCAUGUUCAACUAAUGGAAUCAAUGCAUGCAUGUGCAUCAACAAUGAAAGUCACAGAUUCUCCCUACAUGGUGCCAAAAUCAAACAAAUUAUCGUGUUAAAUACAAUCAUUGCACAUCGUGUGACCAAGAAACCAACACAUUGAACAUAUUCCAUGGAAGUAGUUUGGAGGUGCACCAGUUAUUGUUCUGGAACUUCUAUGUAUCCUGCAAAUAACAGCUUAGGUUUUCCUGGGAUUUCACUUUUCAGUGAUGGCUUUAAUUAAAUUAUAUGUUGUCAUGUGUGAGACACAACAAAAAUCUCAUGUAUUAAAUUGUAUAAAUGUUUUUGACAGAAUGUUCAUAAGAAAAUUUAUGAUGAUUACUGAAGAGAAUAGAAUGUAAACAACGGAAAAGUUUAUAUACAAAUAAAACGAAGAUAACAACUAUAAUAACGAUUACAAUAAGAAAAAUAGACGAAGAGAUUUGUUAUCUCUUUAUUAUGCAUGUUUAGCUUGGAUUUAAUAGUAUUAAAUAAAGAAGAAUAUAGGAACUUUGCAAGAACGUCAACAACUUGAUUGACUGAAGACACGUCUAGUAAUGUGGUAGACUAUGUUUUUGGUUUUCCAAUGAAAUGUGAGAUUCUUUACAAUGUAGAUGAUAAAAUUGUUGUCACAAUAGAUUAAGUAUGAAGUAGAGCACAAUGUAUGUAAAUCUUUUAAAAAGUAGUGCAGUCAUUAAGGUUCACAAGUUAGAGAAAGACUUGUAUUCAACUACAGAGAAGGAUUUAGAAACGGUGAUUUGUAUCUUUGACUUUCCAAAAAUGAGAGCAAUUCCAAGAAAGACACAGAAACUAGAGAUAGAUCUUCUAGUUGUAGCACAAGUGGCCCAAUCAAAAUUAGAGUAAACAUGAACUCUAAAGGAAUUAUUAACAAUCCAAAACCAGAGCAUUCUUUAAGUAUCUAAUAACUCUCAUGACUUGUUGCAUAUGAGGUUGUCAUGGAGAAGAGACAUAUUGGCUAAGUUGUUGGAUGGCAAAAGUAAUGUCAGGGCUCGUAUUUGUGAGAUAGAUUAACCUUCCAAUUUAAACUACAAUAAGAAGAAGGAUUUGUGAGGAGAGUUUCUUCGUCAGCAUGUAGUUUUACAAAAGGAUCAGAGGGUGUAAUGGUUGGUUUACAUACCAACAUACCAGCUUCAGAAAUAAAUUCAAAACAAUAUUUUUUGUGAUUUAUGCACAAUCCAACUUUAAACCUAGCAAUUUCAAACUCUAGAAAAAUAUUUGAGAUAUCCAAGGUUUUUAAUGUGGAACUUGUUGUGAAAAUGAUUUUUAAUAGUGGUAAUUUUAUAGAGGUUGUUUCCAAAUAUAAGGAUAUCAUCAAUGUUAGACCUGUCAAAUAGGCUCCUAUAAUAAGCCCUGGUCCUACCUCAUGUGGGUUAGGGCCAAAAAAGUCCUUUUAUUAAAAAAGCCCACAGGGCUAAAAAGCCCCAAAAUCUUGUGAGUCAGGGCCAACCCAUGGGCUUUCUUUUUUACAAAAAAAAAUAAAUAUUCAACAAUAAAUUGCAUUUUUACAGAGAAAAGAAACACUUAUAUUCAGUGUUAUAACUUGAAAAAUUUAAAUUAUGAAGCACACAAACUCAAUCAGAGAAAAAACUAUCAACUUAUAUAGCAGCCAGAAUCACAAACAGUAAAGAAUGAUUGUCAAAAAUACUUGAAUGUGAAGAUUGGUGGCAGUGUUUAUUUUAUAUGCUCUCUAAUCAGGCAUAGUCAGUUGAUUUACUCCAAUACCUAGAGCCAUCAAAAUGGGUCACAACCCGCGAGCCAACCCGGCCCGUCAUGGGUUAGGGUCGGGUUGGGUUUGAAAAAUACAACCCAUUUAUGUGCGGGUCAGAUUUCAACCCGGCUCAUGCGGGUUGAACCCGUGGUGAGCCGGGUUGGCCCACCAACCCACCUACCUAAUUUUAUUUUUUUAAUUUAUUAUUUUAUUUAUGAAACCCUAAAAAAUAAAAUAUUAUCUUCACUCAUUAUGUAUACCAAAAAAGUAACUUCUCCUCUCACAAAUCACUCUCACGGUACUUCUCUCAUUUGACGGUGCUCUCACCCUCACUUCACUAAAAUUCUUCAAGGAGCAAGUAAAACACCCUUCUUUUUUUCUUCUCUUUUCUCCAUAUUUUUGUUUUCUCACUUCUCUUUCUUUUUUUUUUCAAAAACCCUAUAAUGACAAAAAUAGGGAUUUGCGAAUUUGUUUUUUGUUUUGGGGGAUUUGAAGACAUGAAUUAAUUUUUUUUAUGUUCUGACAUGCUUGUAUCAGAUUUUGUUCAUUUUAUUUAAAUAAUUUGAGUAUACAUUAUUUGAACAACCUCUUUUUGAUAUUUUUGAAUUUGGAAAUUUAUGUUACAGAUUAAACUAUUAAUUUUUUGUUGAUGUUAUUGAGUACUGAUUCUCUUUUUUUUACUAAUAUUUUUUUAUUGAUUGUCGGAAUUGGUCUUUAACAUAAUUUUUUAGGAGUGGAAUUUGUUUAAAUUUAAAUUAUAGAAAGUUUGUAUUUUUUUAUUUAAAAAAAAUAUNNNNNNNNNNNNNNNNNNNNNNNNNNNNNNNNNNNNNNNNNNNNNNNNNNNNNNNNNNNNNNNNNNNNNNNNNNNNNNNNNNNNNNNNNNNNNNNNNNNNNNNNNNNNNNNNNNNNNNNNNNNNNNNNNNNNNNNNNNNNNNNNNNNNNNNNNNNNNNNNNNNNNNNNNNNNNNNNNNNNNNNNNNNNNNNNNNNNNNNNNNNNNNNNNNNNNNNNNNNNNNNNNNNNNNNNNNNNNNNNNNNNNNNNNNNNNNNNNNNNNNNNNNNNNNNNNNNNNNNNNNNNNNNNNNNNNNNNNNNNNNNNNNNNNNNNNNNNNNNNAGAAUUGGAAACUAAAAAAAGAGAUAUUUUUAAAAUAUAUGAUUAUUUGAUAUUAAUUUUGAUUCAAUAAUGACUAUAGAUUGUUUUAAUUAAAAUAUAUGUGUGCUUGACUUUUUUUUUUUGAAAGAAAAAAUAAAAAGAAAAUUAUUAUCAUAAUUAUAAAAAUGAAUAUAAAUAAUUUUUAUUAAUUUUAUAAAUAAUUUUAUGUUAAAAAUAAUUUUUUAGUUUAUCAAAAUAGUAAGUUUUAGAAAUAAUUAAAUAAUUAAUAAUGUUUAAUUUACAAAAUAUUACCAACAGAAAUUAAUAAGAUAAUAAUUUUAAUUAAAAUAUAUAUUUAAUAAGAUAAUAACUUUUAAGCUAAUUUUAGUCUAUGGAAAACAGUUAUUUUUACUUUUCUAUUUUUCAAACGACGUACACCAACUAUCUCAAAACUAACAAAUGUUAGUUUGUGGAAAAAUAAUGUUUUGACAAAGUUUAUAUAUAUAAUUAAUUGACAACUUGUUUAUAAUAAUAUAAUAAUAAUAUUAUAACAAUAAAAUUCAGAUGUUAGAAAGAAAUAUUUAUUAUUAUAAUAAUAAGAUUUAAUAUAAUAUAAUAUAUAAUAUUUAUAAUAUGAGAGAGAGUAAAAUUACAAUAAAUCAUAUGUAUAUAAAUUAUAUUAUUUCUAAAAUUUAAUUAAAGUUUUAGAGUGGGGUUAAAAUUUAAUUAAGUUUUAGAGUGGGGCUAAACCCACUUUAAUCCUGACCCUAACCCACUUGAGAGGGGGUUUUAGGGGUUGGGGCUUUUUUUUGGCCCCCUACUUGGGGGACUUCUUAAAAUAGGGCUUUUUCAACAGUGGGUUGGGGCUGGCCCUGGGACCAUGGGUUAGUUUGACACCCCUAAUUAAUGUAUACUAGAAGGGCAUUACUCCCUGCACCUCCCCAUGUGCUCCCUCCACCUCCCCUUCCCUUAUUUACCCUUCAUUCUAAUUUUUCUAUUCCUAUUUUAUCCUUUUAAUAAAAGUUUGUUUUACAUUAAAAUUUUAUAAUUUUUACCUACUCGAUUACAUAACCUAUAACCUAUUAUUGAUUCUCUAUAAAUAUUUUACGUGUUUUCAUUCUUACUCUUUAGUGAUAGAAUUCUUUUUCUUGUGAAAAUGUGAUGAAAAGAAUGUUGUCCAAUAGUUCAAACAUAUCUACAAUUGAAAGUAGAAUCUGUAAUUAAAGGUAGAAGUUCAAUAGGCAGUACUUUGCAAGAAUAAACCUUAAUCCUAAGCGUUGAUAGGGUCGAAACCACUCUUAAACCGAUAUGAGCAUCCGUGGACGGAUAUCAACAUCCGUUUCAGGGCCAAGGACGUCUUCCUUCUCAUACGCACACACAGAAACCAAACCAAACACAGCAGCAGCAACAUACAGGCGGAAGAAAAAAUCUAGGGUUAUUUAAUUACCAACCAUCACUUUCCUACCCACACUCACACUACAGAUAACAUAUAUUCAUAGAGAGGAAGAAUGAAUCAAUACCAAAAUAAUCAAUAAAUGACAUUAAAAAAUGGAAUCAGAAAAGGGGAGGGAAAAAGCGUUUUCCUCCUCGGCACCGGCGGGGGUGUCGCUGGGGAUGUUUAACAUUUGAAAAGAAAACCCUCGAAGGGAGAGGAGUGAGAGUGGUGCUGGUGGCGCCGGCGAGAAGCGAACUUCGGUGAGGGCGGCGGUGGCUAUCUUCGUCGACGGUGGUUUCGAUCGUGGUGGUGAAGGCUCGUCUCAGUUCGAGCCACAACCUCUCUCUCGCGCGGGGAUGGUUCUUGUUGAUGAUGGGCAUCGUCGAUGACGCCUUGGGUCGAAUGGCGACUGCUCCGGCGACAAAUCGCAUCGCCGGCGCAACCCUAGUUCGUGGUCCGAGAAGCGGCGACUGAGGUACGGCGCGACUGGAAGGCGAGUUCUCUCGCACACGUGAAAUGAGGGAAGACGAGGUGGCGUUGCGGCCAACGAUGACCCUGGUUGCGCUUGGGGUCGCCGGCAACGUCAUGGACCAGGCGGAGGGCACCCUUGCGGUGGUCGUUUUAGCGAUGGUCGUUUUAGCAGAGGCGGAGGCAGCUGGAGCGUGAGUGCUUGAGCAAAGGAAGAGGGUGCUUCUGGGUUUGAUUUGAUCGAAAAAGAGUCUAGGGUUUCCAGAAGAAGAGGAGGCUUGGGUCUCUGGGAUAAGCAGUGUUGAAAUGAAAAUAGGAUGAGGAUAUCCUGAUUUCUGAUCAGGUUAAAAAAGUAAAAAAAAUAAAGUAAGAAAAGGUUGUUUUUGUAAUUAAAAAAAAUUAAAAAAAAAAUUGAGGGGGUAGAGGGAGUGGAUGGGGAGGUGGAGGGAACACCACCCAUACUAGAACGAUGGUGAUAGUAGAAGAAGAAUGUUUGAUAAACAAAGAAUGGUCAUCUGAACUUUGUGUAUACUCGAGAGAUAGUAACUCAGAUAUCAACUUGUGAUUCCAAUUCUUGUUAUCUUGAUUUAAAACAUAAAGCGAUUUCUGAAGCUUGCAAACAGGAUUAGGAUUAGAAGGACAAAGACCAAUAGGAGGCUUCAUGUAGAUUUCUUUGAUUAAAUCACCAUGGAGGAAAGAAUUAUCAACAUCUAACUGAUGAAGAAACCAUUGAUUGUAAGGGGAGUCCAUCCACAUGACGGAUUGUUUGAUUGGAAGAGACGUAAAACGUGUCAACCAUGACAUCGCCAUCUUGUUACAUCUUUUCCAUGUUUCAUGAAGAACAUAGUUAGGGGGAAGGCAAGGAAUGAUACUAAGAAAAAAAAUUUCUUUGUUCUUGAUUUCUAAGGCUACAAACAUAUCAUGUCGCCAUUAUUGAAAAUUGGUGUCUGAGAGAGGAGGAGUGACGAAAAUUAGGAUUGGAUUUCUCCGAAAUAGAGAAAUAAAGGAUAAACAAGGUUAGAAAAAUGAUUGAGUGGCCAUGAGAGAAACAUAUAUAGAUUUUCAAUCUCAUACCAUGAUAGCGUUUGACAAAAUACUUAAAAGAGGAUUUCUCAUGAUUAUUGAAGAGAAUAAAAUGUGUACAAAACAGCAGCACAAAAGGUUUAUAUAUAAAUCAAGGAAAGAUAACAACUAACAUUAACGGUUACAACAAGAAAAAGAAAAAAAGAGAUUUGUUAUCUCUCUAUCAUGGAGAGACCAUAACACACGCCAUCAAUUUAGUGAUCACCUUAUUCAAUAUUUUAAUCUUCUACUUUUGCUAUAAUGUAUUUUUUGAAAUUUUGAGGAUCUUCUUCUCAAUCCAUUGUUGAUAAACCUCUAAUAAGAUAUAUUAUAGAUGACAUUGAGGGCAUGCAUGCUAUAUGAGGAACAAGAUGUUGUUGGAGCAGUGGUGCAUUCUAGUGAAGCUUUUGAAAUUGAACUUGUUGAACGUAUGUAAUUUGAGUCCAAGUAGGCAACAAUGCCAAAGCAAUACCACAUCAACAAUGACUACAAAGUUUAUGAUGAUUGAAUCAAACUCUGAUAGAUAAGUCUCAAGGCCUUAAAAAAACAUUCAAUAAGACAAAAAUUAAAGGGAUCACAGAAGCAUAACAUGCACGACUUCUUUAUAUAAUUUCUCAGACAACUAACCUACAUCUCGUAAUUUUUUAAAUUUUGUUCAUUUCCGUAAUGUUCUGAUAAAACUCCACACUUCACUUAAAGAAAAACAGAAAAAAGAGAAAAAAAAAAAAAACUAAAUGAGAAAGCAGGUAUAAAUAGAGUGACAGAUAUUGAUUUUGGUUCUCUAUGCAGAAAUUUUUGGGGAGCACUCUCGUUGAACUGCCUUCAUGAGAAGACUGUCGUGUUCCAGAGCCAUCUGAACCGGAACAGACCCAAGCCCAUUGGCCAUGGCAAGCAUUAUCUCCUUCGUUUCCUCCUUGAACUCUUCCAUGUCAACCCUUCCAUUCAGAUCAUGGUCGAAUUGCACGAACAUUGACUCGUACACACGUGCCACUUCCUCAGGCUCAUGCUUCACGUCCACGCCAAAAUGAAUCUCCAACACCCUCAUCCUCUGCAACUCCUUCAGCAUCUCCGCGUACGACAGAACACCAUCCUUGUCCGUGUCCAGCUGCCAGAACAGCUCCCUCACACACUCUCCGAACGCUUCCUCGUCCUCCACGAAACCAACUAUGGUUGCGCCGUCUAAAACCUCCACACUCAUUCUCUUCUCACAACUAAAUUGCUGCCAACUUUAUGUUUCUUUGGUUUCGGAUGACAACCUUUGUUGGUUGUUCAGGGUUUAUAUAGCAAUGAGUAGUAUACAGUU